UAGUAGGAUAUACCUUAGCAAAAACAAAAAAAAACGUAGCAGCAUAUAGGAAAUAUGCUCUACUCAACACAAGAAAAAAAAAUAAGCAAUUUAUUAUUGAAUCUCUACUACAAGAGGAAAUGCAAAGUUAAUUGAUAUUACUUUGGCAUCGAAAAAUUAAAGACGGGUGAUGUUUUGAUGCAUUUUAUAAAGUUGUUAUGUGAAUUACAUUUUGUUUUUUUUUAGGUUACAAUUUUGACCUUGAGUUCAUAUAAUCUUUUUAACUUAUAAAUUUUUUUUUUGCAUAAACAUACAUAGAGAGUAUGCCACAUUUUAAUAGUUCCCUUAGGGCCUCCAAAACCUUAAGACCACCACUGCUAGCUAGUUUAGUUUGCUAGCUCACUAGCUUAGAUUUGGAUAGCUUGUUUUCUCCCACAUAGAUUGGGAGUUCUAUUAGUUUACUCCACAUUUCAUUGUAUCUAGGUUGCAUGCCUAUUUAUAGGCUUGAUCAACCAACAUGCUUUGUUCCACCGACUUGGGAAGAUUAACCCCAGCCACAUAUGUGUGGCUUUCUCUAUAAUAAUCUUCAUUCUUCCCAUUGGUUUUGCCGACAUAGGUAAGCUUCUCCAAUAGUUUAGGCUAAUCUCAAAGCAUUCUAGAUUUCUUCACACAUUUCUUUAGCACAAAUGUGCAUUAUUUUCUACACCACUGCUGCCAAUUAGCCCAAACUAUCAAUCAUGUUCAAGUUAUUUGAUCUCCACUUUCAUUUGAUCAUAUGUGUUGGUGUGUAAUAGGUUCACGACGCCUUUAAUCGUGACGAUAUUUCAAACUAAGACUCGAUCGGGCUUUAAUUAUAUAUGUAGAUAAUCAUAACAUGAGCAGACUUAGUUUCAUGGACUAUUUGAUGAUUAACGUUAUGGUAAUCUUAUUACAGGUCGCAUCAGAUGAGCUUGUUGAUCCUAAACUCUGAACAGUUGAUGAGCCUCUAUUUAGUUUUGUAUGGUAUCAAAGGUAGUUUAUAUUAACGGAUGGACGGAACUACUACAAGGACUAUAGUGGGUUGUAGCCCAGUGGGUUUUGGGGGGAAAAAAAAAUUAAACCUAUAUAUUUGCCUUCUUUUAAAUAUAACCCAGCAUAUAUUAACCUAUAAAAGUCCAAAAAAAUCUAAAUCUUAAUGAAUUUAGUUGCAGGGCAACUAAAAAUACACAUUAAAAUAAGUACACUUUCAAUUAAACAUUAUUUCAUUUUUGAUAAUAUGUGGUUUUUUGGUUGAAUUUAAUAUGUGUAUUUGUUUUAAGUUAAAGCUUAUUAGAAAUUGCAAGGGCUUGUAGCUCAAAUAGUUAGGACCAUCUAUCCUUGUCUAAGAUUUGAUUUUCCCCUUAUUGCUUGUAUCCAAUUUUAUUAUUAUUAUUAUUAUUUAAAAUUAGUCAAUUGAGCAAUGAACUAGCGUGGUUUAUAUGAUUCAAUGUAUAAAAAAAAUUUUUUUUUCUAAAAAGACUAUAGAAACUAUAACUACAUAAAAAUAAUCAUUAAAUUUUUAGCUAAUAAAUGUAGCUAGACUACAAGUUGAAAAUUCUUGGCUCCACCAGAGAGCACUCUAUGUUAUAAAAGAACAACAGAAGUUAAACAGAACUCGGAAUAUUAAUAUAUUCUCAAUAUUGUAUUUGUCAGAAUCUACCUAAUGAAAUUCAGAGAAAUGACUUUUUGAAAAGAAAAGAAAAGAAAAAUUAUAUAUAUAUAAAUGAAAGGGGUGACCUACCUUAAAAAAACCCACUACGGACAACCUGAUGAUAAAUUUAUUUAUUGUAAGAGUUAAUCCUGAAUUGUAAUAUCCUUGCCUUAAAAAAGAGAUUCAUGUGCUAAACUGUCAUCUACACCUGCCAUAAGUAUUGCUGUCAAGUACAUGCUCUCGACGACGGUGCAGGAGAAGCUAGGAACUGUACGGUCGUUUCCUUCCUGCUAUGACUAUCGUGCAUACCCAAAAGCUGCUGCUGUUAUUUCGGAAUUACAAGUUGAUCAAAACAUGUGUUGCUUACUCAUCAUCUGUUCCUGACUUCCACGUCACUAGAAACCAUGACAAUUCUUAGAGGCCCUGCAAAAAUUAUUAGAUUAUAGAAUUCAUCAAUAAACAAGUACGAAUUAGGAUUGAAUUGAUGAUACACUCGAUACGUUUAAAAUGUUGGAAGUUAUUUCCUGUUUAAUACCCAUAUCUAGAUUUGGUCUCCCAGUUAAAUAAAAGAUACGGGAUCUUAAUCAGAUUAGUAAUUAAUCCAAUUAGGAUAUUACCGGUGGCCUACGAUAAAUUAUUUUAUGUGCUAGGGUUUUGUGGAUCAAUGGUUCCUUGAUGGUGAAGUAACUUACGGUAUUUGAGCGUAUAUAUAAGGGAGACUUUGGAAAAACCCAAAGGAGAGAGAAAUUUUUUAAAAGAAGUCAAAAUAGACAAAAUUGCCCUUAUUUAUUUUUGGAUUUCUUAAUGAAUCAUUUACAUUUGCAUGUCUUUGAUUUGAAAGUCGAGAGGUUUUUCUGUCUUUUUUGAAAAAUGUUUGGCUUUUUCCAAAAGUGAAAGUUUUUUUAUGGCUAAAACCUAAAUUUACUUAUAUAUAAAUACAAGGUCCCCUUUUGUAGCCUCACACAACAAAAAGCACAAACAAGACAAUUACCCCAUUUAGUCUAUUAUGUAAAGGAGGCGCAACAAGAAGAAGAUCCUCGAUUUUUGAGAAGACAGGCGACAUUACGGUUGUUCAUUGUCAUGGCUUCACGAGGUAAGGAAUUAGUGUUUUGUUUAUACAAACCAUUAUUAAGGUUAACUAAUGAUACAACCACCUCUACAAAGGUUAUAACUAACGUUGUCGUCCUUCAGUUGUGUUCAAUGAAACGCGGUGUUUCACUAAAGUUGUUUUCUAAAAGCCAAACUCUGCCGCUUUGGUGAAACAAAAUUGUCCUCCCUUGCCCAAUCUACCCUUUUAAAACCAAACCUUUACCUGCGGUGAAAAACCAAAAAACAAAUAAAAAACCUUACUUACAGCCCAACCAGUUAGAACUGAAAUGUGUUGCUGGCUUGACCAAUUUUAUUAAUAAUUCUACAAACCUUCCCCAGCUUAUUCCUUCUUCUUUAUCAAGCCAAUCUACAUAAAAAACAGUUUCAACAUUGAUUAUUUUUAUUAUAAAUAAUUCAAUACUCGGAAGGCUUAGCGCCUGGCUUUGUGAGAUAUGAAACGCCUCGCCUUUUUAAACCUUGAUAUAAACAACCCAACUGGUAUUUCUAUUUAUCUUCCUUCAUUCUUCUUCCUUAAUGCCAGGAGGAACCAAAUGCUUGUCGAGCUGCCAUGCUCCCAUUGUCACUCUUCUCCAGAAGGUACAUAUCUCUAUACACACCAAAUUAGUUUUUUCUCUAAUUAAUUAUUGCUAAUUAAUCACUAAUAGCAAGCAUCGUUUACAGCUCGGAGCGGAGUUUGUGGGGACCUUCAUCUUGGUGUUUUCAGCAACAGCGGGACCUAUUGUGAACCAGAAGUACCAUAAUGCAGAGACACUGCUAGGUAAUGCGGCAUGUUCAGGCCUAGCAGUGAUGGCCGUGAUUUUGUCCACGGGCCACAUCUCCGGAGCACACUUAAACCCAUCGGUCACCAUUGCCUUCGCAGCGUUUCGACACUUCCCGUGGUAUCAAGUUCCCCUCUACAUAAUAGCGCAGGUUUCGGCGUCCAUUUCUGCAAGUUUUGCUCUCAAGGGUGUCUUCCAUCCCUUCAUGUCUGGUGGAGUUACGGUUCCUUCUGUGAACCAUGGCCAAGCUUUUGCACUCGAGUUCAUCGUCACUUUCAUUCUCAUGUUUACUAUCACUGCCGUUGCCACUGAUACCCGUGCGGUAAAUAUGUGUGUGUGUGUGUAUAAAUAUAUGUUUAUAUAUUCCUAAUUUUCUUAAUUCAGUGUUCACAAGAUUAGGGUUUGAUGCAUGUCUCUGUACAGGUAGGGGAGAUGGCAGGUGUGGCAAUUGGUGCUACAGUUUUGGUCAACAUCCUUGUGGCAGGGUGAGCAGCCUCUUUAUUCUUUUUCUUUUUUUUCUUUUUUUUUUCUUUUUUUUCUGCUGCAGAAAUAUCAUUCAUAGAAAAUAAAAUUUACGUUAUUUAAACUUAGUUUAUGUAAAUAAAAUUAUAUAUUUAUAUGGCAGGCCAACAACUGGAGGUUCAAUGAAUCCUAUCCGGACUUUGGGUCCGGCUGUUGCUGCUGGAAACUGUAGGGGAUUAUGGAUCUACUUGGUUGCACCCACACUUGGUGCCUUAGCUGGAGCUGCUGCCUACACAACUGUGAAGCUCCCAGACAAUAUACCUUCAAACCAGGUUAGGGGGGGCUUCCCACUACUGCCUAUUAGUCCAAACCAGUCUAUUGAUUCAUGACUACUCUAAUCGUGAAGAUAAUUCAAAAUAAGACUCGAUCGUGCUGUAUAAAUUCAUAUCAGUGUCAUAGGAUUAGCAGCUAGACUUAGUUUCACUGACCAUUUGAUGAUUAAGGUUUAUGGUAAUUUUCUUACAGGUCGCAGAGGAGCUUGUCAAUCCUAAUCCCUGAACAGCCGCUGAGUCUAUAUUUACUUUUGUAUGGUAUCAAAUGUAGGUUAUAGUAAUUGAACGGAGAGCUCUACCCUUUUUUUUUUGGGUAAAGGGAGAGCUCUCUAUGUUAUCCAAAAACAACAAAAACAAAAAAGAGAGCUCGGAAGGGCCCCUUCGUUUACAUUUUUAAAAGCCCAUAUUCGUUUUUCGUUUCCAUUUUUCACUAGAUACGCAUUCAGCAACUAAUUAAAUGUUUUUUUUAUUGAAAAGAAAUUGGUUUAUUAAUGACUCUAAUAUACAAUUUAAUUUAAAUUAUUUUCACAUUAUUGACCAGACACAUUUUCACUGUUUUUGUUCUCAUAAAUUGUUUUCCAGUUAAACUAAUGGAAGCAUUCUCAAAUCUUGAAAAUACAAAUUCAUUUUAUCAUUUUCAUUUUAUGAAAACAGUUUCAGAAAACAUUACCAAACGGGUAUAUUCACAAUUUUAUCUUUGUCGGAUUCUACCUAAUGAAUUGCAGAGAAAUGAUUGGAAAAAAAAAUUCAAAAUGAAAGGGGUGUGAGGAAAAAUAGUGCACCUAACUCAUUAUGGACAACCUGAUGAUAAAAUUAUUUAUUUUAAGAGCUAAUCCUGAAUUGUAAUAUCCCUUACCUUAAAAAAGAGAGAUUCAUGACGGACCAGGAUCAACCUAAACAUCUACACCUGCCAUAAGCAUUGCUGUAAAUGGAUGCCCUUGACAGUGCAGGAAAAGCUAGGAACUGUACAGUCAUUUCCUGCUAUGACUAUUCUGCUUAUCCAAAAGCUACUGCUGUUAAUUCGAAACUACAAGUUGAUCAUGUAUUUGCCCACUCAUCAUAUGUACCUGUCUUCCACAAUCACCAGAACCCAGGACAAUUCUUUGAGGUCCUGCAAAAAUUAGACUAUAGAAUUCAUCAAUAAGCAAGUAUGAAAUCUAAGCUAAUUACUAUUGAACUGAUGAUACAGUUAUUCCUAUGUUCAACAUGCAAUUAUAAAGUUAUAAUUGUAAUUCAAAAGGGGAGAGAGAGAGAGAGAGAGAGAGAGAGAGAGAGGCAAAAGGUUGUUAUCUUAUCUUGAGUUCUUGACGAUAUAGCGAUAUAGCACACAUAAAAAUUUUAUCAUACUAGAUGCAGAGAGCAAAAUGAAAUGCACUCAAUAGAAUUGCAUGUUUACUUCGUUGCAGCAUGCCAGACUACUCAAAUUAUUAAGACUCACACAAGGUUGGCUCCAGUCAAUACACGUAAAUUUCCCAAGUGCAUUUCUCAUUCUGUUUCUCUGUCCUCUUCACUAGCAACACUAACAGGUGGAUAAUCAUCAGCAGCUUCGGCUGGCUCUUCAUCAGCAGCUUCGGCUUGCUCUUCAUUAGCAGCUUCGGCUUGCUCUUCAUCAGCAGCUUCCGCUGGCUCUUCAUCAGCAGCUUCGGCUGGCUCCUCAUCAGCACCUUCGGCUGGCUCUUCAUCAACGUGGUCAUCUUCAGAAUCUACAUACACUUGGGAACUCACCACCUGACCUUUCAAGUCUUUAUGCUUCAGGUUGCCUGUUGGAGCAGCAAUGAAUGAUAAAUAAGAAACAUCAACUUGGAUAAUGAUACAACUUGAAUGAUUAACAUGUGAUGAGAUCAAAGCAUGAACACGCCACAUAGAAAAGGGAAAUUUGAAGGUUUAAGGGAAAGUGAUAUACCGUAUACGUGAAAGAAUUAAAGAUGUAUCACAUGAUCAGCAAGCAUCUAACAGGAAAAAAGACCUUCGGCAAAGCUCAGAGGCAACAACAAAGUAUCCAUGUAAACAAGUGCAAUUAGUUGUGAGGUUCAAUUUAGUUUUGUUUGAGAUCAUUUUAAUUAUAAGGUUAAGUAAGACAGCAACUGAGGAAUAAUCAAAUUCAAGUUAGUUGGUAAUUCAUUCUCCAUCCUCUUCUUAUUCAUUCUCUGUCAGCACAAAUGAUACAGAAUUCAGGGAAUAUUCAGAAAAUAAAUCAAGAAGGAAUUUGGACGGAGAUUAAAAAAAUGCAUUUAGCGUGGGAAGAAAUUGAAUACUAGCGAUGAUGAUGUGAUACAUUAACAUUAUCUAGGAAAUUUCUGACCUGCACAAAUAAUGAUGCUAUAGGUUACUAGAAUACUAUAACAUAGUUCAAUGUUGACGGACAUGUUCAGGUACCCUCCAACAAGAAAACCACAAUUCAUACAUACCCAUCCAGAAGGAAGAACCAUUUGAUGUUGUAUGGAGAAGAGCUUUCACACAGAAUAAAAACCGUUCCAUAGAUCUCUUUGUAGCAGGAAUUUUUCUGGUUAUACUUGUUUGUCUCAAGCCCUUCCACAAUAAAUAAAUAAAUAAAAAGUUAUCAUAUGAUAAUGACACUCAAAGGGUGAAGAUCAUUUAGUCCAAAAAGUACAAAGCUAAAUAUAAAUUGAAAUUUAAGACUUACCUUUGCUUCAGAACAUAGGGUCUGUAUUGUUCUUGUGGCCUUUUGAAGCUCUAAAACCUAAUUCAUUACACAAGGAUAAUUUUGCUUCUUGAUAAAUUGAGGAUAAAACUCGACUCCAAUCUUUAGAAUGUACGUAUUUGCUUCAACAAAUCUUACCAAGUGGAUUAUAUGCUCAUUGUGAACUUGAAAGUGGGACUCUAAGAAGUCAAAAACUGGAAAACAUUAUGACGUCAGUGCCUCAGACAUUUUCCAUUUAGAUCAUACUUUUGAGUAUCACGAAUAUACCUUUCAGGAAGGAAUCAACAAACUUCCCUCCAUAACCAACAGCCAUGGCAUGCAGAGUCACCUGAACCACAAUAUUGACAUGUCAACAGUAUCUUGGGCGGAUGGCAUUUGAACAACAUAAAGACAGCCCUAAAAAAAAAUGAGAAAAUCCAUAACAAAAAAGAAAUUUAGUUGAGAGAACUCCACAGAGUACUGUUAUUUACCUUGGCACAAGUUUUACAAAGGUUAACUAAUGACACAACCACAUUUACAGACUGUUGUAGCUUGCUUAGAAGUUUUUCAAUAGUUUCGGGUUGAGCACGAGUACUGGUUUUCUUUAGGAGAACAGCUUCCUUGACCUAAGAGAGGAAUAAACACGAGUCAUUCCUUGACCAAAUGGAUUUCCACUAGAACAUUGAUGGUGUUUAUACAAGUUGCAAAAAUGAAUCUACAGCUCACCAAUUUGUUAAGAACAGAAAGAUUCUCUUCAUGCUGCACAUAAGACCACCUUGUGUAAACAACCCUGACAAGAGAGUAUCAUUAAACUUAAUGAAAGGAAAUGCAAGUCUUACCAGUAUCUUGUACCACACAACAAAUGUUCCAGAACUUAGAGAUGGGAAACCAUGAUGAUCAUCUUCUCCAAUUCGUUCGCAUAAAGCCUAAUACAGAAAUAGAAAGUUGACAUAUAUUAAGUACUGGUUUGAAAUAAUAUUAAGGCCCAGAUUUUUAAUAGGGAUUUCUCAAAUCCAUUCUCAAGACCCUAAUAUAGGGUACUCCAUUGGUGAGCUGGGUGAGGGAACAAGUUUCCGAUUUCACUUCUUGGUAUUGCAAUGACAAUUGAUAAUCAAAGAAAAUCCUUUAAAUUCUAAAACUUAAUUUCAGAUAAGAAAAGGUAAAUUAACGAAAUUGACCCAAAACUGGCUAUCAUGCAUUGUGAUUCUGUUAUAUUUAUACAACCAAAACUGACUUUCAUAGAAAAGCUCCCAAAUCCACAAAAGCUAGAAAAAAAAAUAGGGAAAAAUAUCAUCUACCAAAACUCUAAAGAAACCGAGGCUGCAUAACAAAAAUAAAAUUCAGGCACCUGAGGCAAAAUAGAGCAGGCUAGCUUAUCCAGCAGGUCAGAAGUUGAGUUGCUGCUGUCCAGGUAGAUGCGCAAUAUUCUCUGUACUGUUUCUCCCUAAAAACAUUACAAAAUUCAAAAGUGAUACAUGCAUGCAUAAGUAUCACAACAUGCAUCAAAUCAUUUUGAAAAUUCAUGCAAAAAAUAAGAGCUAGAAACAUAGAUCGCUCACUUUUCUCUUCCAACCAUUCUCAACAUUUUCAUUAUCCCAACUAUGCCUUAAAAUAUUCUGAGCAGAAAUACCAAGUUUGCUGCGCAAAGUUGGAAGAGCUUCCUGGAUAAAUUCUGAGUGCACGUUUUUACUAUUUCCCUCCAACUUACUGAUGAAUUUCUGGAUUGAGGUUACAACCGAUUCUAGAGUAAAAAGUGAUUCUGAAGCCAGCAUAAAGGAGAAAGAGCAUGCUGCAGGGACCAUGCAGUUACUAAAGUGGUUAAUUAAAAGAGUGACAACCAAUGAGCCCCCUAGAACACCAUCAGGAAACAGGAUAUAUUUAUGUACCUAUGUCCAAGACACCUUCAAAAAAUGCAUAAGCACCCAAAUAUAAAUACUCUGUAGUCCCAGGAGAAAGGUUAGGUUGUAUGUCUGCCAUUAAGCUAUCUGGAAUCUCUGUAGGCUGGAAUGCUUCUAGCAGACAUGAGAGAGCUGACUUGUCUGUCUGAAUACCAGGAAGGUUUAAUAUCUGUACUUAAAAAUCAAAUAAGAAGAUUUAGUAAACUUUCUUUUCAAAAUUAAAAGUUGUGUAUAGAUAAUAAUUUAGAUAGGAUAUCAGCUAGGUUGGGAGAUCACACACACACAUGUAGAGAGAGAGAGAGAGAGAGAGAGAGAGAGAGAGAGAGAGAGAGAGAGAGGAUGCUAUUUCAUGGAGUAAAUAAGUAAAGGUAGUUGAUGUUCACCGCACUGAAGCAAUGAAGCACUUCUUUGAAUACUGAAGUAGAAACUGCAGAUUUUGAAAGUACAAGAUUGGGAAUAUUUGGAUUUCCAGCAAAAGUAGAUUGAAUAUUCCAAUGUUCUUCACAAGUUUCAUCCCCUGCAGAGUGAUUGUUGUAAGAUUAAAAGAAUAUAGUGGCAUUCCACUAGUGUUUACCCACCAAAAUUGGACUUUACUAUCUUACCUUCCUUAAGUAACAAAACUGCACUAUCAAAAUGCCUCUUAAUACUUGGAAAGAGUGGUUUAAUUUUGCUCAAAAAUCCAUCUACCGUCAACCUGGUGAACCCAACUGGAGCACUCAAGCAUCUACCCCACAAUUGUUUUCCAGGAGUGAAGAAAUCCAGCUUGUAGUGAAGAUCCCGCAUAAGGUACAGAUAUAGGGGUAACUAACACCCACAAAAAAGACAUAAGUUUUGCAAGUUUAUAACUUCGUUUAUGAUAUAAAUUAAAAGAUGACUAAGUCUUGAAAGCUGGGUACCUCAGCAGCAGCAUCGAUACAACAGGAGGCUUCACUCUGCAUUUCAAAAGACAUAGUAAAAAAAUCCAUAAUUCUUCUAUCCAAAAUUCAAUAUACACUGCGCAUCUUGUAAACAAGAUCAAGAAAUGCUUGGUACACUGUUGGUAUGUGUUCAUGCCUAAUAGGCUCUCAUUUGAGUCAACAUAUAGCAAGACGAAUUACUCCAAAAUUAGACAACUUUGGUACUAAUACUUUUCUGUCAAACUAGUAAACAUAUUCAUUCUGCAACUUGAAACAACUUUGGAUUAUAACCACCCCAAUGUUUAUGACUAACUCAUUAGCCCUACUAACCCAGAGCGCAGACUUCAAAUCAAUAUAAGAUGCAAGCUGACAGUCUCUUGCCAAAAUCUCAUUAAAAAGAAGUCUUUGAACUAAGAGUGGCCGCAUUCAGAAAACAAGUACAGAUUUAUGAUUUCUGUUCGGUCAUCAGACCAGUGCAUUGAGCUCUAUAAAUCACCUUCACAAAUAUCGAACAUUGAUUAUUCCAUAAUUCAGUAGCCUAAAAAUGUGGAUUCAUUCACAAAUUAAUCUCAAUCAAUCUGAUAAGAACACGUACUCAGGCUAACCCCCAUAAAGAGCAAAUGUACCUUUGAAAAUGUCAAAAUGGCAUAACAAUGAACUAGGAGGGGUCUGAAAUUAAUCCUCUGAGCUUCGAUAGCCUUGCCAACAGCAGAAAUUUCUAUAGAGGAUGCCUCGUCAGAGUCAUGGGAAUUUUUGUCUGAUGACUCAUAUGACCUUCCCUUUGUAGAUAAACCAGAAGAAUCCUCAUUUGGCACAUCUUGGCCUGGUAGAACUCCCGCUUUCUCUAAGACAUCCAAUAAUGUAGGCUGCCGGAGAUUCCGGUUGGUAUCUGAUGUUGUUUCCUUUGAUGUCUUUUUAUUUGUCCUUGUGCCACUUGGAGAGAUUUCCUCAUGUUUUUUCUUAUGGUCAAGUUUCUUUUCAAUGUGCCCCAUACGGUGAGGUUGGUUUAACGCAGAAGAACGGUAGACAUCCACAUAAGGAUGAAGUUCAGGAAGAGAUAGAGAGUACCUCCCAAUGCAAUUGUUUAACAAGCUUUCCAAAAAUCUGCAUUGUUAGAUUGUCCCCAUCAGUACUCAAGGAUCAAAAGGUCAUAAUAAAUAUGCUAAUCUGAAUACAACAUUUAAGGCGGGUAUAAUCAAUUGUUUCUGACCACUAAAACACUUUCCCAGAACCCAGCCAAUCAGCUAAGCUUUAGGAUAUAAGGCUGGCCUCUGUUAGGACAAAAAAGGUAACCCCCUAAGAAAUCUCAUGAUGCCUGUAGGAUUCAGUGCCCCUCAUAUUUUCCUUACACUAUCCAAGUAUUUGUAAUCAUGCCCCUUUCCCUCGAUUUGCCCUCAUUUACAACAAAAGCUUCAAAAUAGCAUUCUAAUUUUAAAACUUUAAAAACAAAUGAUUUACAACAUCAGAAAGCUGAUUUACAAAUUUUGCAUAUGUUGUCAGUGGAUUAAGAACACAAAUAACGUACAGAAGGUUCCUCAAACGCUUCAAUAGCUUGGAAAUUAUAUCCUCCUUUGUAGCCUGGCUUGUAAAUUCAAAUAUCCCAGUAACUUGUGUACAGAAGGCAUUGAGCUGCGCAUUGCAUAAAAUUAGUAAGAAACCACAAUUCACGUAUAAAGAACCACUUCAAAAUGAAGGCAAUAUAUUUUAAGCUUCUUCACUUACUAGCUCCCGUAUCCAAUUGGCAGCAUAAUAUAGAGAGGCACACAAAAUCUGUUUCUGCUUCCCUGUCAGAGACUUCCACUCAGAUCCAAAGAAAUACUGGUAAUGCACAAGUCAAACACAUUUCAGCACAGGUCAAUGCCACCAAAACUGACAGACUACAAAAAUUAGAGAGGAUCAACUAAAAAUAUUAUUUUACUUCUCAAACAACUGUGUGACUUCAUCAAGGAUACUUUUCUCCCAAAUUUAAAAUGUGGAUUUUCAGCUUUCAACUUUAAAUUAUAAGCCAAAGUCUUGCUAGGAUGCUGUUGGCAAAAGUAUUUUAGUGCCCUGACCUUAGAAGAAGGCAGAUGCAAAGGGCAGCCAAGUAGUGCAUCAAUUCCACCAAGGGAUCCUUGAUUCGUCAGCCUUUCAAUCUGAGAAUUGACAAGAAAUUCCAAAAUUUUAUCACAAAACUCAUAAUUUGAUCAGUUAGAAACACCAUAGAACUCUAUAUAUAUAUGAAAUAUAAUAAAAUUUCUAUUUUUAUUUUAACAGUACACUUACUGCAGAUAAUAAAAGGAAGUUAGCAGGAAGAACUUGUAAAGAAGAAGCAGACCUGCACACACAUUCCAACUUCAGCAUCAUAGACAUCAAGGGAGAAAAAAAAACUUCUAUACAAGAAUAAUAUACUGUAUGGCCAACACAUUACUGCGAUGAAGAGGAAGCUAAUGGCAAAAUGUUUAGACAUAUUGGGGAUAUAUCACCAUCCAAGUUCAUCCACAGCUCCCCUACAAAGGGAAAAAGAACAUAAAAUUUAAUCCAUACUCAAUUAAUUGCUUAUACAACACAAUCUCAGUUAUCAUCAGGACAAGAAAAAAAGAAAGGAGUAUUGCAUCCCACAAAUCACCUUCUAAACCACAAUAUGAGUCCUUAACAGCCAAAUUCCCACCAUCAAGAUCAGACAGAAACAGAGGUUCAAACUCUCCUACAUGUUUCCCAAUCCUGCAAUAUGCAGAUUAGUCUUUCCCAAAUAAAGAACAACCACUGGUAACCUUAGCAAAUUAAAAUCAACUGACCAUUCCAUAACUGUUGGAUGAAGUGUUUUAUAAUCCAUCAUUUCAGUCAGUUCGUCAUAAAACAUGAUCAAAGGUAAGGGCAACUGUUUGCAAGAGUCCAAAGCUAUUUUCAAGAGUUCCAAAGCCUCGUCACAAUUUGAUUUCUGUAGAAUGAUGCUCAAGAAUGGUGAAUACAUCCCUCAAUAAAGAGUUUGGAAACUGAAAAAUAAAACCUAAAAUUGAAGUUGAUUUUAUGGACGACACAAAAUAACAUAAGUAAAAUCAGCCAGACACAUCAAAAUAUAAUUUGCAAGUCCCUAUAUUGUCUGUGUUUCCUCUAAUUAUCAAAAGAAAUUUAUAAAAUAUUACUAUCAUAGACAAGGCCAGUAACAAAUUCAUCAUCAUGUGCCCCUAACUAUGGAAGAGUAAAACUGAUAUGCUGCUGGGUCAUACUUGAGAUGAGGAUGAACAGGUAACAUCAGUUGCAUCUCCUAGACAGGAAACCAUCUUCAGAGUUCCGACAAGGCCCAUCUUCUUGUAAUUCAGCUCUGGAUGACUGACCUGAGAAACAGUAGGAUGAAAUAGAUCAAUCUGUGUUACCAGAAACUGUAAAAGUUACCAUAUUAAAAAUGCGUUGUUCAAUAUAUUCGAUCAAAAAGUUUACAUUUAAGUGCUUCAAGUGAAAAGAAAUAAAGUAUUGGCACCUGCUUCCGUACUAUCAUCAAAAGUUCAUUUGCAAAGGAAGAACCAUAUGAAUCUGCACUAGACCGAGCCAAAAGUGCCAGAUGGCCAAAAAUCUCGUAGACCUGCACCAUGUAAAAACCAGUGAAAUUGUGAUUUAACACUUUUGUGCCAAGAGAAAUAACGAUAUGUAGCAUCCUACCUUGUGCAAAUUUUCAACGCUAAAUCCCUCUAAGUAAUCGAGGAUACCUGAAUUUAUGGAACAAACAACUAAGCAUGCAUUUCUUGGAAAAUAAUUACUCCAGGCAAAUCAAUAUGAAGAAUAGAUUAAUAUCAUACCAUUAAUAUGAGAAGAAAGAGGAAUUAAUUGCUGUGAAUAUUUGGAGGCCAGCAAAGCCAUUGUCUCUAAAGCAGAACUGACUUCAAAACCCACACUUGAGCCCACAUGGGUAACCAGCGAACCAAGAACCUAAACAAAAGCCACAGCUAGUAGUCCCACAGUACAUCCUUUUUCUAAUUAUCAAAUACCAAACAAAGAACAUAUAGGCCACUUACUUCCUGUCUUGAAUAAGUAUCAGCAAACUCCUCAAAGAGACAAACAUACAUAUGGAUGCCAAACUCCCGGGCUUUUGGCUCUUUGCAAGCCAACAGGUACUCAGACAAAGAAAUGAAAGAUAGAAAGUAAUCCUAACAACAAAUCAAAAAGAAGGUUCAAAUAAGGCUACGGAAAUACAUCACUUAAUUUUGAAAUAAGACUGGAUUCCAUGAUAUCAGAUCAUGGUCAAAGAUACCUGUACCAGCUCCUUGUGUCCAUGAAUGCAUUGAUCAAACAUAGCUUCCUGAAUGCAAUCUUCAAUAAUUUUCUUCUUGAAUACCUUUUCAAUGCUCCUUUGCAGGGAUUCACCAUUCAUGUAUAUCAGCAUAAGUAGCCAUAUAUCAAUGACUUUGUGAUCCUGAGGUUUCUCAAGACUGUUUAACUCUUUCAAAAUCUCCUGACAUAGUAUCUACAUAGCACAUAAAGAAGCAAAUUAAUAAUUUUAAGGGAAAUUCGAAAAUUGAGAGAAGUACAAAUGUUUCAAGAAACAAAUGGCUGAAGACAUACAUUCUUAAAUCGAAGACUUGAUCUCAACGCAUCAAGAAUUGAAGCCUCUGUGUUGUCCGCACGCGACUUCCCUUUGAGUUUACUCUUUUCUGAUGUACGAUAAUUUGAAACUCCAACAAAUUUUAACUGCUGACGGAUCUGUGAGAUUAUUCUCCGUGCAUUUGACAGUGUCGCUGAAAGCAGUAAAAACCUAAGCAGAUGAGGCAUGUGCUCCGCAUCAAUUGUUCUGAUGCAUGACAAUGCUAUGGUGAUUACCUUCAAAUUCAAGGGAAAUUUAAAGUCAGGUGCAGCUCGAAUUCGCAAACUAAACAUGUGCAGUAGGCUUAGUUAAGUGAAGUUUCUUGUUUUGUCAUGUCCUAGAGAAUAAGCACAAAUUUGAGAUUCCAAUUUUUUCUCAGCAACCAAACAGAUAUUAAAGCGUAAUGUGAAACCUGCUCUUGCAACAGAGGAUCCAAAUUAAGAUUUGAAAAGGAGUCAAGCACAGGCACAACAACAGCCAAGUCUUCCUGGAGCAAUUUCUCAAGAGAUCGAACCACAGUCUGGUUAUUCUGAUCUCCGAUGAUCUCCGGCAACGAUCCGAUGAUCUCUUUCUUCAAAUGCAGAGGGCAAAUCGAAAGAACCAGCAUCAAUUUCUCGGCCAAGGCAUUCGGAUCGACAAUGAAAUCGAGCCACCGGAAGUGAUUGAUGAUAAGCCUAGCGAUGUCGUCUUCAAGAGACAGCGAUGGACCGGAAUGUUCCGGAUAUACAUGGAAAUACUCCGGAAGCUUCUCGAGAAGCAUGUUCUGAAUCUGUAAUUGGAUGGAGGGGACCAGCAGUAGGUGCCGGACUAAGCUCUCGCUUCUGCCGGAGGUGGUGAGAAUCCUGAAAAUGUAGGAACAAUGUUCUCUUAGAUUUUCUCGGCAGCCAAACAGGAAAUGCGAUAAAAUUAUAAAGAAAACUAGAAGCCAUUAGAGAGUGUAGAGGAAGCUACUGACCUGCGGAGGUUUUUGGAGGAGUUGAUAUAGGUGGAGAGGCCGGAGAGGAAAUCAGAGAGAAGAGAAGGGGCAUUUUCAGAAGAGGAGAAAGUGCGGUGGAGGUGGCGGCGGAGCUUGUGUGAGUCCGAAGGGAGGCACGGUGGGCCCGAGUGGUUGAGGAGGGUGCAGCCAGCGUCGGCGAGUAUAGACGCCAUUUUGUCGAUGGCUGGGGUCUCGACGACGUCGUUUGGGGUCGGAUUGGUGGUGGAGGGUUUGGAAGAUUUUGGGGGAGGCAAAGGAGGGACAAAAGAAGAGGAGGCCGGUCGCUUGCGUGAAGGGAUUUGCUGGUGGAGGAACACCAUCCUGUUUGGCUUGUUUAUGACGUCGUUUGCUAGUGCGGUUGUGAUCUCUGCGUCUGUGCUGGAAGGAGACUGGGAGACGGAGAAAGACGAGGGCAGAAAAGGCGCCAAUUUUUGGUGAAUGUGGCGGUUGGGGUUUCGAAAUUAAACUUUUAAAAAUUACCAAAAAAAAGUUUAUUAAAUAAACUUGUGUAUUAAAAAAGAAAUAAACUUUCGUAACAUUUUCAUUUUUGUAGGAAGGAAAAAAAGAAAUAUUGUCAUUGUUGUUAAUGUUAUUGUUAGUGGAAAACAAUAGUUAAUUCUAAAGAUAAUCUGUCAUUUUGAGUAGAACUGUGGUUUCUUUUUUUAAUACAAACGCUAGUCUAAACUACAUGGGAGGGGGGUUUCUCAACCUCAAAUUUUUUUAUUUUUGUAUGUAUAAAUCUUGUACAAGACACUUAUAUUAGCAUAAGAAGUGAAAAAUACAGAAAAAGGAUCAAAGAAAUACACAUUGUGCCAUCAAACAUAUGAUUAAGCAACUAAUUUGCUUGGCUUUUUCAUUAUUUUGUUUCUCCAAAGGCUGUGCACCUCCUCCUGCAGCCUUUUCUCAAAUCCCUUCAAAUACUUUGUAGGGUUUUUCCUUGAGCAUUAUGGAAAUAUGAUCCGCUAGCUCACCAACAAAAUCUGACAAUUUAUUCAUUUAAGAGUCAUGGUUAGUAGUUACCAAGCAAUAUUUCAUUCAUUUAAGAAGAAACCAAUUAUAUAUGCAAAUUCUCCUUUCAACCUAAUGCCAAUAAAAUUGGAAGCAAAAAUAAAUCAAGAUCAAAUGGGUCGAACAUAACUCACAUCGAAUUAGAAAAAAAUAAAAACUUCUAAGAUAAUUCUUAGACAUGCACGGUACGACAUAUAAACACACCAUCUGAACCGUUGAAUCAACAAUCUGUCAAUCCUCCAAGCAACAAAUAAUGGAAAAAAGAGUAGAGAUAUACUCACAAUUGGGUUUCGUUCACACGUCAGAGCCCCUGCCGGUUGCCGGAGUAAUCAAAGUUUCCAUGUAAAUGGUUACAUCCGACUGAGUCCCAAUAGCAAUACUUCGAAACGUCUUUCCCUUGGGAUUAUACAAUACCAAGAUAUUUCGAUUAUAACCCAACAAAACUUCUCCACUCUCUAAAAUACACAAAGGCCUCAAGAACGAUUCAUCAACCUCUUCUGGUAAAAUCUGAUCCAAAUAAAUUUCUAUGGGUUCAGCCCAAGAUUCUCUGACCCGAUAUUCCUUCAUAACCCAUAUUCUAAGAUCCGAGCCCAUCGGGUCGGAGUAUACAAACAGAGAAUUUCUACUGACCCCAAUCCCAGCGAAGACACAGUUUUCUUCCUUGCCAAGGUAGGGCAACGACACCGUCUCCUGAAACUUCUCCUCCGCCAAAUCAAAAGACAAAAUCCUAGAACCAAUGGGACGAGGGCCCCCUGCCCAUUGAAGCUCUACCCAAUACAGAGCUCCAUUAAAAAAGCAGCCCUUCCCAUUCAAGCAAACAUAGCCAUGGCCAUGGUCUUUAUUGCGACUCCUCCACCAUGAAUUGGUUCUGAGAGAGAAAACCUCAACCACAGUCUCCUUGGAAAGCGCGGUUCUCGACCCUCGGAUGACCUUGUAGUCAUCCGUGGUCGAAUCGUAGCCGAACCCGAAAAACAAGAAGCCGGAAAGAAGAGAAGAAGGCUUCGGCAAGAGCUUGGAGUGUCCGGUGCACGGGUUCCAUAUGACAAUGUUGGUGUAGUUGACUUGCAGGCAAAUCAAACCGUUGCAAGAUCCCACAAUUCUUGUGAUCAAAAUAUCUGGGAUCUUCACCGGCAAAUCAAGCUCUCUGUUUGCAACAUGAACAUGAUCCUUGUCCAAUCCUACGGAGACUAUGGAAUAGAGACGAGUAGACGAGAGAAAGAGGGUGAGGCUGUUGUUGGUGCUGCACGUGGCCGCUGCGUGGAUGAGGUGCUUCAUGACAAAAUGAGAAUCGGAGAUCAAGGCGCGCCAUGACUUGCACACGCACUGGAGGCGGGGUAGAGAUUUGGCGGGGAGCCUCGAGAGGAUCUCGACAAGGAUAUCAUUGUUGAGAGGCGGUGGUGGAGACACAGCCGCAAAAUUAGAGGGGAGUAGUUGCUUCAGCUGCCGGCUGCUAAGGCCGUAGGCGGCCAAACUGGUUGUUUUUCGUGGUGAGGCUUCCGAAGUCGAUGUUCUUGAAAAAAGGCGGCAAAUGCAACAAGAAAAGCUCUUUGGGCUUGUCAUUAUGGAAGAAUAGAAGAAGACUUAUGUUUACAACUGGUUCAGCAGUUUAUACUUUCAAAUGGCUCGCUACAGCUGAAAAACUGUCUACAAGCAUAGCACGUAACGUAUAUGGCUAUUUUAUAUUGGUGUUGUCGAGGAUAAUUUGGGCCCAAUGAUGAAUUUUUUUAUUUUUUACGACAUACAGUUCCAAAAACCUUGCGAUGCAAGUAGGAGGGAAAUUGUAGACCAAACACAUUACAAUGCUUCUGUUUAGCCAACCUUGUCCAUCCUCUUCAACAACUUUACAAAGGAUAUACUUAAAAUCUCUAACAUGGAAUUUCCACAACGGAUCUCGCUCCAACUCAGCAGGUCCUGGCAAAGGUAACCAUCUCCCUCAUCGACUUCCAAGUCGGGUUGGCUGGUCCUGUUGAUAUUUCUUUAUAGUAAAGCGUGCGCAUCGCUUGCUAAUUUUCCCAGUCCAAGCAAUUUUCUAGUGGUCUCUGAACUAGCCUUGGGACGCCCUCAUCACGCAAAACCUGAUAAAAAACAGUUGAAAUCUAAAAUGAGAAACAAUAGCAAACCAAGCUCAAAUAGAUCUGACGAGAUAACUUCAUUAAAAGGACAAAGCUUAUUGCGUUUAUUAUGUGGCAAAUUGCUGCAGUUACAGGCACCUGGAGUCUGUGUUGUAAACGGAAGAAAGGUGGAUUAGUCAUAAAAUGGGCAAGGGACAGGCAAUUUUACCAAUGAUGAUGCAGGCUAGUACUAGUGAUACCGGGUAGCCACAGUUCUAAAAAUCUCAUGGUUAUGGUGGUUGUUUCCACACACAUUGCAUUCCAUUACUGCCUACUCAAACAUUAUAGUGUCUAGAAUUGCUUCCCAUUACUUCGUCUCUAAAUAAGUAACAAAACACAACUUCGUCUCGAACUGAUCCUCUAAAUAAAUAAAUAAAAAAUAAAAAAUGCUAGAUGCACCAACACUGUGAGGUUGGUGAAUAACUGCUAUAAUUCAAACACCAUGUAAAAGAAUAUGCAUAUCAAAUCUUAUUUGCUCAGACUCAACAUUAGGUUGUUCCUUAAACAAAAUUGAAUAGUAUCGGUUAGAAAGAGUGAAGGAAAGACUCACAUUGUUGGUCUCAGAUGUCUGCCCAACUUUCAACUACUGGUGAAACCAAAGUCUCUACGUACAUAAUUGCUUCAGGCAACAAAAUAACAGGCGAGCUAAGAACACUCCUAAAUGUAUUUUCCUUUGGAUUAUAUGAUACCAGGCCACUUGAAUAACUCAUGCAAACUUCACCGCUCUCUAAAAUACAUAUAAGAUUCAGAAAAAAUACUCCUUGAAGUGGACGGAAAAGCUCCAACGGAAUGUCUAUGAUUUUAGUCCAAGAUUCUUUGACCCCAUAUUCCUUCAUAACCCAUAUUGUAAUUGCAAUAUCACUGAAAUUGCUGUGAUUGAACAUAUAUACAAAGAGACAAUUUGUAGUCGUCCCAAUACGGAUGGAUAUAUAUUUUUGGUCGCUAAGAUAGGAUGAUAAUGGCACCAUUUCCUGAAAUUCUUCCCCCGCUAAAUCAAAAGUGAUGAUUCUUGAACUAAGUACAUUGAAAUACCCCUCCCACCUCCAUUCAAAUUCUACCCAAUGAAGAGCUUCGUUUAACAAACACCCCUGCCCAUUCAAUUUAACAUAGUUAAGGUCUUGAACAGUCCUCCACGAACCCGAUUUUAGAGUAAAGAGCGCAAUUGUGGUUGUAAGCAAACCACUUUCACUACUAGAUGUGCCACCCACUAUAACCUUGUAAUCUUCUAUGGUGGAAUCAUAACCGAAUCCAUAAAACAUUGGACUAGAAGGAAAAUAAGUAACUCCUGGUAACUUCAGGGUAUCUCUAGUACACGGGUUCCAUAAGAAAAAGUCGCCUUUGUUUUCGUGCAGACAUAUCAAGCCGUUGCAAGAACCCACAAUGCUCAUUCGGUCAAGCACUAACGGUGCUGGUAAAUGAAGCUCUUUGAUUGCAACAAAACUAUUGACAUCCUCCAGUGCUUCGUAGUCUAUGGAAUACAGAGGACUGUUUGAAAUAAGAAGCUUACUGCUAUUAGCAUUGACCCCUCUGACUGCGCGGCGGAGGUGCUUCCUAACAAGAUGAGAAUCGGAGAUCAAAGUAUGCCAUGACUUGCAUACACACCGAAAUUGGAGUAAAGAUUUGACUGGAAGCCUGGACAGUAUGUCAAUGAUGAUGUCAUCGGAGUCAAUAAGGGGUCGUUUAAACACCCCAGCAGAGGGGUCCAGUUUCUGCCGCCAGUUCUGAAGGCCCGCCAUGUUAAAAGCUGCAGAGGUGCAGCCAGGAUCAUCUACAAUUAGGGUGGGCUUAACCUCCCAAACCAAUUUGUUUUCUCUAUUGAAAAGGGCAAAAAAAAAAAAAAAAAGUUUCUGCCAAAAUUUAAACCCUAAACUAAGAAUUUAUACCUUAAAUUAAACCCUAAUACUAAUGGAGUAAGUGCAGUCAGUGUGCAUAUAACAUGCUCAUGAUUCAUGAAUCAAUUUUAAUUUUGUACAAAUUAAAUUAAAUUAAAGUAAAACAAAGAAAUGAAAUUGAAGACCUGGACUUACCUUACUGAUUCCAUGCCGCCCUGGACUUGGAGAUUGGAAGGACCAAGAGAAUUGGCAGAAAUUCAGAAGAAGGAUUGAAAGGAGAGAAGAAGAAAAGGAAGAAGGUGAGCUGAAGAGGACUGAUUGACUCGGCUGAAGAGCAUAAGAAGACUUUGACCCAAAAAAAAAUAGAGGACACCCAAAAUGGAAAGUGCGUUGAGGCCCGGCUGUAAACUGGGCUUGGUGUGGAGGGUGGGCUAGGAUUUGAGACCCAAAAUUUAAAAUUAAUGUAAUGACAUUAAUGCCCAUGUGCAAUGUUAAGAAUAUGGACGAUCUUAUUAAAAGAAGCCAAACGAGAGAGAAAUUUUUUUAAAAGACGCUAAAAUAGAUAAAAUUGCCUUUAUUUAUUUUUGAAUUUCCUAAAGAAUCCUUUACAUUUGCAUGUUUUUGGUUUGAAAGUUGAAAAGGUUUUUCUGUCUUUUUUGAAAAAGUUUUGGUUUUUUCCAAAAGUAAAAGUUUUUUUAUGUCUAAAACCUAAAUUUACUUUAAAGAUAACAUAUUCUUUUAAACACUAAUAAAAAUGAAAAAUAAAUAUAUAUAUAUAUAUUUAAGAAAAGAAGAGGAGGAUUUUAAGUUGCCUCUCCUCCCAUCGAUCUUUAAUUUUAAACCUCUUGGGCUCGUUUGGUACACAGGACUGUCUUGGCAUGGACUAUACUUAGGGACUGGCUUGGCUUGGCUUGGUCUAAGUUGGAUAACACUUAUCCUACGUUUGGUGUAUGCUUGGACUAGGACUAGAAUUUUUUUUUUUUCAAAAAUAUCUAUAUAUAUGUAUAUAUGUAUUUUAUAAUAUAUAAAAUAUAUAUGUAUAUAUACAUACAUAUAAUAUAUAUAGGUGUAUAUAUGUAUAUUAUAAUAUACAUGGGUAUAAUACAUAUACAUAUAUUUAUAUAUAUGGAUGUAUAUUAUAAUAUAAUAUAUAUAUGGGUAUGUUAUAAUAAUAAUAAUAAUAAUAAUAAUAAUAAUAUACAUGUAUAUACGUGUAUAUACAUAUAUUAUAUAUGUAUGUAUAUAUACAUAUACAUUAUAUAUAUUAUAAAAUACAUAUGUAUAUAUAAUAUAUGUAUAAUAUAUGUAUAUAUAUUAUAUAUUAUAAUAUACAUAUAUAUAUACGAAUAUACAUGUAUAUAAUAUAUGUGUAUAUAGGUGUAUCUAUAUAUUAUAAUAUAUAUAUGGGUAUAAUACAUAUAUAUAUGUAUAUUAUAAUAUAUAUAUACAUAUAGUAUAAAUAUAUAAUGUAUAUGUGUAUAUACGUGUGUAUAUGUAUAUUAUAAUACAUACAUGGGUAUAAUAUAUAUACACAUAUAUGUAUAUAUACUUAUAUAUAUAUUACAUAUAUUCAUAUAUGCUAUUAUUAUAAUAUUAAUAUGUAUGUGUAUAUGGGUAUAUUAUAAUAAUAAUAUACGUGUAUAUAUAUACGUAUAUAUGUGUUUAUAUAUAUACGUGUAUAUAUGUACAUUAAUAUAUAAUAUAAUGUAUAUUACAUAUAUACAUGUAUACAUGUAUGCUAUUAUUAUAACAUUAAUAUGUAUGUGUAUAUGAGUAUAUUAUAAUAAUAAUAUAUGUGUAUAUAUCUAUAUGUAUUUAUAUAUAUUAUAUAUGUAUAUAUGUGUUUAUAUAUAUAUACAUGUAUAUGUGUAUAUACAUGUAUAUAUGUACAUUAUAGUAUAUGUGUAUGUAAUAAUAAUAAUAAUAAUAAUAAUAAUAAUAAUAAUAGUAAUAUAUGUUAUUAGUAUUACAAUAUAAUAUAUGCAUCUUGUACAUUGGUGAACAUAGGACUAGCUAAUCCUCCUUUUCUACAUGGGCUUAGUAGUCCCCUCCUAAUGAGGUGUUUUUGGUGGGCCCGGUAUUAGCAAUCCCAUCUAAGACUAGAAUUAAAUGAAACAAACAUAGUACUAAAUUUAGUCCAAGCCAGUCCAAGCCAAGACUGUGUACCAAACGACCCCUUGAGGUCUUAAGUUUUUGUGGUGAGUUUGAUGUCUGACAUUAUGGUGACAUAUUUUUAUCAUUGUAGAUGUAUCUUUGUUUUGUAAAUAUCAUACCAUUUGUAAGAAGAGAGAGUGAAAAAAGUUAUCUUACCUAUUCUGCUCAUCUGCAUCCCUCUUUUCUUAUCUCCCCGCUUCCACUUUAGUUUACUUAAGAAAAACGGAAAACUAAAACGGACAAUUAGCUUAGAUGUGUUAAAUUGAUUCUUUUGCAAAACAUGUUUUGUCUUUGGUAAAUCUUGUAUAAGAAACUUCAUUAGCAUAAUAAAAGCUGCUAGACUGGAAGUAGCCUCUCUUCCCCAUGAUCAAUCCUUUAAAAAAUUUGUCCAAAGUGAUCUGGCAAGAAAUUAUAAUCCUCAAUAUGUUUAAAGUGAUGAUCUAGCAUGAACAUAUAAUUCACAAUAUAGAGAAGGAAAAAAACAGUAUCAAUAUACAUGUAUAGUUACAACAAUCCAUGCAAUGUAAUAGGAGGAAAAUUGUAGACCAAACACAUUACAAUGCUUCUCUAUUCAUCUGCCUCUGUUCAUCCCUUUUCAACAACUUAGCGCAGUGACAUCAGAUGUGGAAGGAUAACUUAAAAUCUCUAACAUGGAAGUUCCAAAACCCCCCGUUUAAACUCGGCAAGUCUUUGCAAGGAAAUCACAUCCUUCGUAGACUUCCAACCCUGACUGGUCCAGUUGAUCUUCUUUAAAGCAUGCACAUCGCUUGCUCAUCUUCCCAGUUAAAGCAAUUUCUAGUGGUCUCUGAACUAACCUUGGGACGCCCUCAUCACACCAAACCUAUAACCAAGACAGUGGAAAUCUAAGAUCAAGCUCAUUCAACAAUACAGAUGCUUGCCAAACCACAACUAGGGACUUCGAAGUCCGUAUUUGAUCCAUUUUUAUUUUAGGUGCAUAUAUUUUUGUAAUACCAUUCCUCAUGGUUUGUGUCAGACAAGAUGGACAUUAUAAGCCUCCAUAACAGCACAAUAUUGAAAACAUAAGGAAAAAACAUUAUAAGAACUCUGAGAGAAGCACAAUGACUGCUUCGUUCCCAUAAUUGAUUCCACGUCAGGAAGACAUACCUCUCCACCCUCGUCCUGACUCCACCUCGAAUUGCAACUAGGUUGCUUCGCUUCUUCAUUCUUCUGUUUCUCCAAAAGCUGAGCACCUCUAGCAGCCUUUGCUUCCACUCCCUUUAAAUAUUUUGUAGGAUUUCCUUCAGAAUCAUAGUAACGACCUACUAGCUUACCUACAAAUCUGACAAUUAAAAGUCAUGAAUAGUAAUUACCAAGUAUUUUAUUCAUUCGAAAAGAAGAUCAGUUAAUAUCUUUAUCCUUUCAAACUAAAACCAUGAAAAUGAACGAGGAACAAGAAGUCAAGCUCAAAUAUAUCUAACAUGAUAACUUCACUGAAACAAAAUGGUGGAUGAAAGGACAAGCAUAUCGUGUUUGGCACAGAACAAGGCUGGCGUCUGUUUUAUAAAUAGCUAUAAACUUGCAACAUAAAUGAAUUCCAAAAAAAUGCAAUAGGACAUUCUGAAUGGCAUAAACAAAAGUGUCUAUUACCAAAAAAAGAAAUUAAUUUCGUUCUUUUGUGGUCGAUCUUUGCCUCUUAUAACCAGAACAAUCAUAAGCAUAUGCAGGCAGAUAUAACAAUGAUUCCUACAUGCAGUAUGUGAAACAGAUUACAUCAAAAUUUGCUUACAGACCUCAGUGAAAGUUUGAGAGAUUCAUGGUAAUGUUCCUAUUUUAUUCAAUUGCAAUUUUCGUAGUAGAUGUAAAAUUUUAAAACCCCAAACAAGUUUCUAACGGUUUCAAAAGUGGAAAACAGAUCAGCUAAUUGGCCCAAGUUUCCAGUAACCAUGAAAAAACUUCCAACAUUAUUAAAAGCGUUGAAAUUCCACCUUCCAAGCAUCAAAAGUAAAAAAGAUGGCUGAUAGAUGUAUAACUCACGUGUAACUUCUAAAGUAGAAAUCCCUCCAUUCAACAACACUCUUCACCUGCAAAUACAAAAGAAAAAAAAACUCAAUCACUCUUGUAGCAACCAACGAAACUUCGGAUGUCACAGUCCCAAAUAUGCAGCUGAACCAAGUAGUAGGGAUUAGAUUGAAUAUUUACCUAUUUUUCCAUUAGUAUUGUUAUUCAGUUUAAAAGUGUGAAAAAAUUGGCAAAGAACGCAAAAAAUUGAUAAGCGAAGAAGUCACACAAGAAGAUGCCACGUUGAAGCAAGUGGAUAUGUCACAAAAUGGCAAACGCAUAGGGACACUAUAGCAAAACAUGAUACAAGGUAAGGGUUUCACAUUAGAAGCAAUGAUUCUGAACAAGUCAGUUGGGCUGGAAUAUGGAAUCAGUCAGGCAAUCAUCAAAUGCAGGUGAACUAAUCCUGACUAAUUUCAUAAAUUAUUGAAUUAGAAGGCAUAGGGUGAGCAGGAGGCAGCAUGAGAUCACCACAAGUGAGCUACCUGAAACACUUUGCAAAUCAUGGACUAAGAGGGUAGAACCAGCAGGGGAAAGCAUUCAAUAUGGGUGAUGUUUAGUAGCUGCAGUUCUAAAAAAAUUUAGUGUCUUUCCCCCUUUUUGUUGUCCAGCAUGGCUUCACAAACUCCAGGGUAAAAAGGAGAGCAAAUAACAUGAGUUACCUGUGUACUGGAUAAAUCACGUAGCGAGUCUGUGAGCCCAUCUCCUACAAUAUAACCAACAAAAGAUGCUAUGUGAUUAUUAAAACAUAAAUACUUUUUUCAAGCGUUAUUUUAAACCCCAAAGCAACUUCAAAGUACUAAAAGUACAUUAAUCAGAAAAAUAAAAAAUGAGCCUACAAAAAAAUCAAUUCAAAGGCAACUCUGUAAGUUAUUAAACUUUGAACUUGCAUAAUAAAUCCAUCAACAAUUAAAAGCGAAAAAAAGAAGAAGACCAUCUUUACCUGUAAAGUUUCCUGAAACAAAUGCUCGUGAAGCAUCUCUUUAUUGAUUGCAAGGGUUGAUGUGAAGGCAAAAGAGCUAUUAGUAUACCAGUCUCUAGACAGAUACAAUCAAACAAAGGAUAAAAGGAUUUGAUGACUAAAUAUAUUCAAAUCCUAUCAUACACCAACUAAUGCUAUAGGUAAUGAAAAUUAAAAAGUACACUAGCACAAUUUGUAAUCCGAGCAUGUGUUUCCGGGAAAAAUCGAGAAAACAUCAAUACCUAGUACCAAAUUUAAGUAAGAAAAUUCAACAGGGUUAGAGAAGAGAACAAACCUUCCUGAAAAAUGAUUGUAACCCCCACCCUCACCAUAAUGAGAUUUUCCUUUUGUCACGUCGAAAACCGAUCUGAUCAGAAAAUACGGAUUAGUUUCUUUAAAUCAGUAAAUGUAUGCUCACAGGCAUUUAGGAAUCAUAUAAAGUGCUCUGCUUGAUUUCCAAAAUUCAACUCAUCAUGAGAUUACAACUUCUCAUUUCUAAUGUAUAUUCUGAAAAGUCAACCGCACACUUUGUGGUGCUUGAACUGUAUGUGAGUAGGGUUUUAAUACAUCCAUCUAAAUAGAGAGAAAGUGAGAAGGUACCCGAGAAUUCCUAAUAAAAUGGGUAAGCUUUGAUCAGUCCCGUUGUACAAGGCCAAUUCUUCAACAGUGAACAACCUCUAGAAACAAGAACAAAAUCAACUCACAUACUUGCACUAUAAUGUUAAACAUUCAAAAGCGAACCAAAGCAAACAGUUUUUUUUAUAAAAAAAACCCAUCUUGGAAGAAUACCCAAGUAAAAUCGAAUCUUGGAUUUGCUUUAGCUCCCAAAAUCAUGAAAAAUUUCAGUUGGGGUGUCUGGUAUUCUGUCAAGAAAAUUAAAAAAACAAAAGAAAUGAGCUUUGAGCCUCUGACCUGUUGUGAGAAAGGCUUAUAAUAAAACGCGACGAGAGCGAUGAGCGAGACAAAAACUGCAAUUCCUACAAAAGGAGACGUUGCUAUGAGCUUUGCCGCCAUCCUCAGUCACUCGACACUCCACAACAGCUUUAGUUUUCCUCUACCGGACAACAGUUUACUUUCGCCGUGUUUAUAUUAUUUAGUCUCGUCAUAUAAAGAUUAUAUUUAAUGUAAUAUAUUUUUUAAAAUAAACUGAAUUUGAUUUUUUUUUUCUUCAUUUAUUAAUACAUACAUAAUGAAUCAGGUCGUAGUUAAUACGCAUUCUAGAGAGGUUUUCAUCAUGCCCAUCGAACCUUACCAAUUCGCAAAUGAUAUCAUGACACAUAUCGUUAUUUAUUAAUACCAUACUCUAAAUUCAUGAAAUAUCAAUCAUGUCGUUCACUCAUAUUAUAACUCGUGAAAUCUUAAAUAUAGUGAUAAACGUUUUCAACUGAUUGAGCAACAAACCCAUAUACUUGAAAAUAGCUAUUGAUUAACAAAUUUGAGGAUCAAUUGAUAACCACCAAAUGUCACUUCUCAGCCUCAAAGGCAGAAAAAUAUAAAGGGCAAAAAAAAUAUAUUAAGGGCAAGCAAACAAUUAGAAAAUCAUCCGGAGAUAAAUGGAGAAUUGGACACUUGCAAAUUUUUAAAAAGGAGAGAGAAAAUUAAAAGGUUGGCUCAGGAGAACACCAAGAGGACGCGCGCACACCAUAACGCGGCUCGUAAAUAUAAAAGUGCCAGAGUCUAACAGCUACAAUUCCGACUUCGGUGUUUGGUCUUCGAAACGCAAAAAUCUCUCUUUGUUGGGCGAUUCAUUCAAAAUCCACUGGUACGGGUACCUCUGCAUCUUAUUAUAUUCAUAUUUUUUCUCAUUUAAUUCAAAUUAAACUCGUCCUGUAAUUUCCAAUCACAAUUGGAUUUAAUUCACUCUUUGUAAAACUAAAAUAAAAAGCAGCUCGAUUUUGAAUUUGAUCUGCAUGAAUGAAUCCGAGUAGUUUGUUGAUGCUUCAAAAUUUUAAAAUUUUGAAAUUGGUACAGGCUGGGUAAAUUUCUCUGGUAUUUCUCGUUGAGAAUUGGGGUAAAAAUGGGCGUGAAACAAGCCUUGAAGAGCUUGGAUGCAUUUCCUCGUGCCGAAGAGCACUUGUUGCAGAAAACACAAACUGGGGCAGUUGGUAAUAUCUUUGUUUGAUUGAUUGAUUUAUUUAUUUUUGUGUGUUUGGUUCUCUGUUAAUUAUGGUUUGUAUUCAAUAUUUGUUUACUUUUGCUUGUGUAGUUUCUGUUGUUGGUCUACUUAUAAUGGCGACAUUGUUUGUGCACGAGCUGAGAUAUUAUCUUACCACAUAUACCGUCCAUCAGGUUAGAGUUUCAAAAGCUUUCCUUUUUAUUUUCUGUUGAUGUUGUAAAUCGGAUACGCAGGUAAUUAUUAUCUGCUCAGGGUGCAUGAAAGAAAUUUGUGAAUGUAAAAGAAAUAGCUCACAUGUAUAUUAUUAUCUGCCAUUUUGAUGUAUAAUGUACCAGAACUUUAGUCAAACUGGGAGAUAUAAGUUUGGAGAUGUUGUAUAGAUCCUUUGAGAUUAUAAGUUAUCUAAUGGAAAAGCUUAUGCAUUCGGCAGAUGUCCGUAGACUUGAAGCGUGGAGAGACUCUUCCAAUUCACAUAAAUAUCACAUUUCCAUCUUUACCUUGUGAUGGUUAGCAUGUUUCCUUCUUUGUAUUUAAGUAAAUGCUGGUUUCUUUGUAGAUUUUCUUCUUAUCUCAUGUUUGUAGUUUCUGUAAUGAUGAUGCUGGGUUUUCAACUUUUGAUUGCAGUUUUGAGUGUGGAUGCGAUUGAUAUGUCAGGAAAGCAUGAAGUGGAUCUUGACACAAACAUAUGGAAAGUAAGAGACUUUUUUUUUUUUUUUCCUUUUACUUAAAUAGAUGUAUAGAAUAAUAACAUAUCAAACAAUAAGAACUAGAUUUGUGUACUGUGGUAGCAAUGUGUUUUAUCUGUUAAAAUCUGUGAAUAAUGUACUACAUUAAAGGGUUUGGUGUCGAAGACUAGUCUUCAUGUUUAUGUCAUGUUGCAUGAUGCAUAUUUUGUGCUAGGUCCCAAUUUAUCUGUUGAGUCAAGUAUAAGACUUUGAUUCAAGUGAACAUAAUUCGUUUUUAUCUGUACCACUUCAUAUGGGGUUCUUUGAAUCUCCCUCUACUUAGGUAUUUUUCAAGCUUUUUCUGGUGGCUCUUUUCUGGGCCAUCAUGGGUUUUAGGCUUUCUGAGAAGUUGGUAGUAAUGACUAAUUUUGUUUUUCUUUUGAUUCUUGUUUUGAUCCACUGCCAGUUAUCCAGUUAGAUGUGCUUAAGUAGCACAUCUAAUAAAAUUUUGUUGUAAUCUCCCGGUUGUUAGACUACCUGCUUUCCCAUGCAUGUAUUCAGUGAAAUUUAAUAGUUAAAAAUGGAAACUUUUGAUCUGUCUCCUUCCUCUCUCUCUCUCUCUCUCUCUCUCUCAUAGUUAUUCUCCUAACCAGUUUAGAGUGGCUGCAGCUUCGCCUGAACAGUUAUGGCCACAUCAUCGGCACUGAAUAUUUGUCUGACCUUGUGGAAAGGGAACAUUCUCACAAGCAUGGUAAUAUCCUUUUUGCAUUACUACCACAUUUUGUUUUGGAUGUGUUGCCAUGCUUUUCAGAUUCUAUUUUUGCAAGAAGUUUUUUCUACAAUCUCACUUUGUCUUCUGCACCUGAUCAAUUUUACUCUCAUUGUUGCUUGGAUCAAUGGAAGUUUUUGGCUCCCACGAUGGACAUAACAUUUUUCCCUUACAGGCUCUAUUUAUUUUUUCCUUAAUAGAUACUUCCUUUAAUGAACAUGAAUCAUGUAGUCAAUGUUCCCUUUGGAGACACCUAAAUGAUAAAGUAAACCCACUUUCCAAGGGCCCAUUAAGGUUGUAAGCCCCUUUGCAAAGCAUAUAAUGUAACCAAUGGGCUAUUGCUUGCAUGGCAGGACAAUUGAACAAUUAAUAAAGUCUGAAAACAAAGGACUAAAAGCUCAAGAGAAAGAGUGGAUGAUGGAUUUAAUUAUCUGAUGGUGGAUUUUCUUGGCAUUCUUUGUGUUCUCUAUUUUAUUUUUUGGUAUUUUUAUGUUUGCCUCUUAUCUUUCUAGCCUCAUUCCUUUAUGUCUUACCUUCUUCACAAACUAAAGUGAUUUCUGUUUGAUUGAGUGUUGCCAUAGCAUUAGUUUUAGAACUAUGAUUUUUUUCUAGGGCAUAUUCGUUAAAUUGUCCAACAUCUGAUAAAGAACCUUGACCAGAUGACAGUAAAGAUCAUCAUGAGGACAAGGACCAGGAAAUUCAUUUACAAGGAGCUUUUGAUCAAGCUGCAGAAGAUCUCAUCAAGAGGGUAAAGCAUGCAAUAGCAAAUGGAGAAGGAUGCCAGGUAUUUAAUUACAGAUAUGUCUAUUUGUUAUGUUAAUGAACCCUAUUUGCUCUUUCAGAUUUAUGUUGGAAUGUUUUUUAUAUAUAUUUUAUGUAAAAUUUGCUGCAGGUUUUUGGUGUUUUAGAUGUCCAAAGGGUUGCUGGAAACUUUCACAUUUCAGUUCAUGGAUUAAACAUUUUCGUUGCACAAAUGGUUAGUUUUCCUUGAAUGUUUGCUCCCUUCUUUUUCCAAUGUCUGUCCAUUUUGUGGCAAACGAAUUUCAUGUGAUCUAGAACAUGCAAAGUACAGUGCCUGAUCUAAAGUACUUAUGGAGGACCUAAAUUAUGAGUCUGAAUUAAAAUUUUAAUAUUUGGUAUUGGUGCAAUUUGAUUUGAUAAAUUCUUGUUUUGAUCCUUUUAGAUAAAAAUUGGCGUUUGGAAUAAAUCAUUAGAUUGGUGCAUUUUGAUUUGAUAAAUUCUUGUUUCGAUCCUCUUAGAUUUUAAAAAAAAAAUUGAAUCUUAAAUUUUUGGUCAAUCUUUUGUGUUGGGAAUGAUAUGGAGUUUGAAGUUGUGUGAGUAAACCAAUCCCUCUCGCUUCUCAUAUCAAGGGAUGCUUUUUGGAUCAGUCUUGUGUCAACUGCCAUUUUUCUGCAUAACGUGAUUUAAAAGCUUGUUGGCUCUAGUUAACUAUAGCUCCUAUCUUAUUGUUCCAUGUCUUACUGUUUCUCUGCAGAUUUUUGAAGGAUCUAAAAAUGUAAAUAUAAGCCAUAUCAUUCAUGACUUGUCAUUUGGCCCAAAAUAUCCAGGGAUUCACAAUCCACUUGAUGGGACGGAGCGUAUUUUGCAUGACACAAGUGGCACUUUCAAAUAUUAUAUAAAGGUUUGAAUACGUGGGCUUUCUUUGGAUUUAAUAUACAGCUUUGUGGUAGAUUUAAUUCUCAUGAAUCUGCAAUAUAGAAUGGCCCAUUUUAUGCAUAUAAUGUGCAGGAUUGCCUACUAGAGUCUAAGCCUUUAAUUCAAGUUUUGUUCAUUCUGUUAAUUGUGGAAGAUCAAGUAGUUGUCCUAUAUUUUAACUCAUAUAGGAGAGAAUUAAAGAAAAGGUCCCCUGGUAGUAAGAGACUUCCAUCCAACAAGUCGCACUCCUAGCCAAGGAACUUAUACAUCCAAUAAAGGACUUGUAUUAUUUCUUUUGUUAAGUGGUUUGCUAAAGCUCAAACUUUUUAACUACAUCCAGGGACCUUGAGUAAUGGUAUUUGUUACCUUUUCCUCAAAGUAUAAUGGAUUUUUGCUUCGUUGGUCGGUGGGCAUUUUCAGGAAUCUUAAGUAUCUGUCUUCAAACUAAUGUUUUGAAAAACAAAUUAACACAUUUGAUUCCUCAGAAAAGAAAAACAAAAAGAAUUUGUUUCAAAUUAUAUGUUAAUGUUCCAAACAUGACCAAUUGCACAAUUUGCAUGAGACAUCAGCAGGCCUAACUUUGUUGUUAGGUAUACUUUUUUUAAUCAUCUAUUCUUUAUGUAGGCUUUCAUGAACAAUUCAUUGACCUUGAUGACCUAUUUUGAAAAAUUUUCUUUUUGUUGCAAUGCAGGUUGUUCCAACCGAAUAUAGGUAUAUCUCAAAAGAAGUUUUGCCAACCAAUCAAUUCUCUGUCACAGAAUAUUUUUCUCCUAUGAAGCAGUUUGAUAGGACAUGGCCAGGUUGGUGUAUGAGAAAUUAUUUGUUAGUCCUUUCUUUGGUUUCUUGGUGUUAAUUAUCAGCCCUGUUUGUUUAUAUCCAGCUGUAUACUUCUUGUAUGAUCUGUCGCCAAUCACUGUAACUAUCAAAGAAGAACGCCGCAGUUUUCUCCAUUUCAUCACUCGGCUUUGUGCUGUAUUGGGCGGUACCUUUGCUUUGACAGGUUUGUAUUUUCACUCGUUCUUUUAUCGUUUCUUCUGAGUCAGCAUUAUCAGAACCAGAACAGAAGGCCCAUUCUAAUACGAGGGAUUUGAGUGCAGAAGCAAUUCUGUCCUCUUAUCUUGUUCUGCCAAAUGAUGUUAACUUUCUGGAUCUUUUUGUCUGAGUAGGCCCAUUCCUUCUUUUUUUUGGGUUUAAUUAUUUGAUUCAGGGUGGAAAUAAGGAGUUUCACUCAGGUUGACAGAUCCCAUAUAUGGUGGAUUUGACACUUCAUUUCUGCUUAUUGAAGUUCCGACUGGUUGAUGUUCUAGACUACUAGAGUCUAGGCCAUCAAAGUUGAACCUGCCAAGCUGUCAUUCUUAUCAUAUCUUUUUCAUUAAUUACCCAUUCUGUUUGGUUAUGUGUUAUUACUUUUGUCUUGCAUCAGGAAUGCUAGAUCGAUGGAUGUACAGGUUUCUUGAAGCAGUGACCAAACCAAAUGCUAGAAGUGUACUCCGAUAAGCUUUGGGAGUCUGCAAUUACUAUUUACCCAAGCACAUCUCCUAAUGAACUCUUGACAUUAGUAAGGUCAUGAUGUUUCCCUAUUAGCAAGUGACUGUGGAUGUAAAAUGAAGAUGCAAGAGCUGAAAUGUCCAUUGCUCAUGUAACUCACAUUCUAGGUUGCUCCCCAUCGAUGACCAAUACAUGAAAUUGCGUUGGCAUCUUUUUUAUAUAAUGUUAUUUUUAUGGUUUUAAAUCGCGUUGCGCUGCUUGGGGGGAGCUCAAGAUUGUUGUAGCCUACUUGGUAUACGCAGGAUUCUUUACAGACUACUUGAUUUUGCUUAGUUUUGAUUUAGGCACUGUUCAAAUUUUGGUGAGAUAAGUUAUGAGCAGUUCUAAGCUCUUGCUAUCAAUUUUUAUCAUUUAUUAUUAUUAUUAUUAUUUAUAACUUUAAUUAUCUAAAUCUGGCCGCCUGUAGGAAAUGAAUAUCUCCAAUUGAAUUGUGCUAAGAAAUUAUGGAUAUGAUGAGUUUCAUUACAAGGCAGUUCUAUGGUAAGCCUUUGGGUUGGGUUUGUGGAUUCUCAAAAAUAUCAUCACGAACCAUAUAAACCCUGCAUGCACAAGAUACAUGCUCAUCAAGCAGAAAGCUUUCUUACGUAACACAGAGGCAAGAUGAGAAGAUCAACUUUGUAAAUUACAAGAAAUACACAACAAAUAAUUAGAUAACUUUCUCUUUUCCUUUUUGGAUUCUGAAAUUUUCCUUUUUCAAUCGGUUACAAAAAUUUAUGAAAUUUAUUAUGAUAAUGUCAAGUUCUGAUGGGGGCAUUUUACUCUCCUCAUUGACGAGCAAAAUAUCAUCAUGCUUGACACCUUUUUGCUUACGCUAAAGUCUGUAAAUGAGUUGAGCUCAGGCUUGUGAAUACAACAUACCAUCCAGUCAGCCUUACUUGGAAUCCCGAGUAUCCCUACAACAUGCCUCUCUUGUUCAGGCACUCGCGUCUGAUUCCUGACUGAACUCUUGCCCGUACAACCCAUUUAAUCUGCAAGAAAUAAAAACAAAAGAAAACAAUUAUUUAAAGUCAAAUACUUACGAGUUCCAACUUUUAUAGUUGGUUUACCAAAAUCACAUAUCAAGUAUUUCAUAUUUGGUGACUAUAAUAUUCUUGGUGCGCAUAAUAAUUACGUGCACGCACCAAAGUUAAGAUGAUUGCAAUGAGAAAAAAUGAUUUGUUGAAGAAACAUGUGCAUUCAUGACAGACUUAAACAAUCUGAAUUGGCAGUUUUUAUCUAAACUCAUUUGACCAAGGCUGUUGAAUCCGAAGAGAACCUCGCAGAGAUCAUGCAAAGUCUACGUUCCCUGAAGCUCAGAUGGACUUAAACCUUUAAGUUACCCUUCUGUAGAGUAUGAUUAAAUCUUAACAUGCAUUGGACAAAAGGAAAGAUCUUCAAUCUACUGAGCUUGAGUGUACCUAUCAAAGAAACCAAAAUUGCUGAGUCUUUUUGAACUACGUGCCAUGUCUAAUUUCUAGCUGCCUGGGACCAUCCACAUUCAGAUCUUCCUCCAGUUGUUGCUCCUGUUGGUGUUGAUAAUGAUCUUGUUCUUGUUCUUGCUGCUGCAACUGCUGUUGUCGUUGCUGAUACUGAUUCUGCGAAUCUUCCAUCAAACGUUGCCGUCGUUGUUGCUGGUAAUGGCGUUGAUAUUGCUCUUGCUGCUGCCACUGCUGGUGCUCUUGCAGGUGCUGCUGCAGCUGUAGUUCAUGCAGGUGCACAUGUUGAUGGGAAGAUUGCAGUUGUCUGCUGGAUUUCCAUCUAAGAUACUCCACCAGAAGAGAAUUUGUGCUGAUUGCAAUCCCAAAGCCAGUGAAUGAGGAAAGGAGGACUGAGAGAAUCGGAUUUACAUUAAGCUGCAUGUUUAAUGAACAUGAGAAGCUGCAUCAGAGACCAAAGUGCUCCUCCCUAAAAACAAGAACACAGGAAAAGAAACCAGAAAGAGAAACAAAUGGAGCAGGUGCAGGGAUUCGUGAAAGAAACCAGUUCUGCUUACUAGAGUAUAAAAUAUAUGAGCAAACAGGAUCACGAUGGCAAACUGGAAGGAGGCAUAAGCCCAUAUGUAGCUCCUGCUCACUGCCACCAUCAUGCAUAAUCAGGUAUUUCAAGUAUAAUUCAUGGAAGAAGAAAAAAGAAUGUUGUACAAAUUUGAAAAAAAAAAUGGAAGGGAGAGAGAGAGUGAGAGAGUAGAAAACAUAAUGGCUGCAACUCAAUUCUUAAAUAUUCCCUAAUUAGAAUUAAAUAUGACAAGGCUUCUAACAUCCAACGAGAAGAGCAAGAAUAGAUUAAAAAGAAAAAUAACUUCACAGAUGUGUUGGGGAAAAUAAUUUCCCAGUAUAGCAUUGUCAACUAUUAAACGAGGAUUUAUAAAAAAAAAUAAAAGAAAAAUAAAUAACUUGGUAGUGAAAGGAAUAAUAAACUCACCCAUUGUUGAAGCAAUCAUGGAUGAAAGGAGACCUAAAACACAAGAGAAGGGUAAAGAAAUGGCAAGAGCACGAGGACCCAAGUCAGAUACCUGUUCAGAUUUUAAAAAAAGGCAACACCACUGAUAAAUUGAUUAUAAUGUAAAACAAUAACAAAAUGUUCAUACAAAUGUUUAAAUAACACGCGUAUAUGUAGAGACUGCAAAUGGUAAACUCUUGAGGUUAUGAAAAUGUUCAAAAACCAUUGGCGUGCUGCAAUCUAAACAGAUACCGCUUUAGGCCUACAACCUUAUCCGAAUAUCUGUGAUUUCUUGUCACUUAUGAAAUUUUCAAGAUCAUAUCAAGAAUAAUAUGAAAUAUGGGACAACAUGAAUUUUAGAAUCUAGUCGAAGUUUAUCUUUGCCAACAAGGCUGAGCUUACUACCCAAAAUAUAAUGCCAUAUAGUGAAAAGCUUGAGUUUAUAAACAUACCAGAAGUUGCUCCAGAAAGCAGAAAUAUGCAAGCAUGCUGACCAGGACAAGAACUGGUAUGUCCUGCCAGACCCUGUCAAGCAUGCAACAAGGCGAAAUCCAAAAUCAAACUUAAACAAUAAUAUCUCAAUAAAGGGGCAUGAUACCAAAAAUUUCUAGAAAGUUCUCUGAAUUAUUGAUGGAAACAAAUACGUUUUCAUAAUUUUCUAUGUGCUUAACAGAUGCAGCACUAGGAAACAUGUAUACAUGCAUCUCCCCCACCUCAACAAAAGUCCAUUUUAUUGGAAAUGCAAUUCAUAUUAAAAGUGACCAUGAACAACCAAAAAAAUAAAAGAAGGGGGCUAGAUUAUAUUGGCAAAUCAAGAAAAUCUUAACAUGUUUAUGAUCGGAUUUUCUGCAAGGAUGGCAACCAGAUAAACGCCCAUAGACAAUAAAUGGGGCAUUAACUGAGUGUAGUUUAGUUUGCUAUCAAGUAACCAGAAUUACUAACAUAUCAAUGUUAUGAUAGGAAACAUUCUUCAGGAGGAUAGGCUACAUACGUUCUUCAAAAUCUUGAAAUGACAGGGAUUUCUUCUAAAAAUUGAAAACAUGGAGCCCCAAGGCUCUUUACAAUGAUUCAUAACUACAAUGUCAUGCUGGGAUUAAUACCAACAUUGUAAUAAUUGGGACUUGCCUGUAACGAGGGACUUCCCUCUGCUGCAUUACUGUUGGUGGUCGUCUAAUAAUUGUUUGAGGAUUGUGUACUUUGAGUAGUGUUACAGGUAAGUUUUGAACAUCCUGCUUGCAGACUUCACAGGUCUUGUUCCCUUUAAUGCUAAACCACUUUACUGCACAAUCUUUGUGAGCAAGUGCCAGCUCUCCUUUGCAGCUGCACUCCAUUUUAAGAGUAUCACCACCUUCCGAAAGCUCAACCAAACAAAUCCUGCAAACGGCUUCUUCUUCAGGAAUGUCUUCACCAGAAUCUUCAGUAGCUGAAAUUAGCGAGUUAUCAUCCACAAGUUACACAUAUAUUAGUUAGAUAAUACAAAAUAGAAGGAGCAUUAAAGUGGGAAAGAUAAAAUAACAGAUCCAUAAGCAUUUAGUAGGAGUUAAUGGCUCAGUACUUGAACUGAACAAGUUUAAAAUUUCGGAUCUCAAUUUUUAUUAUUUUAAAGCUAUGAACGUCAUUCCCAGUUGCAAGUGAACUAACAUAAAUCAACACAUGAAUAAAAAUAUAUAAAUCCUAUUAUGAAUGAAGAUGAGGGGGUUUUCUCCUGAAAGCAAAUCUAUAUGCAACCAAGGUAGAAAACCUAAGAACGAUACCUAUGGAUGUGAAGAAUUGCUUUAUGUCCGGGUUAAUACAUUUAAUUCACAAGUUUUGUCUUGUAGCAGAUGAGUAAAUAUGCUAUAAUAUAAAUUAAUCAUUAUUUUGAAAUUCUAUUAAUGACAAGAUGUAUCAUUUACAGGUUUCCAAUGCUGGGGCAGCAUUCGGUGAGGCACCCUCAACUAUUGAAGGACGUGGAGUUGCUGAAAUUACACGCAUCAUGCCUCCGGAAUCCAUCCUCCUUAAACUUCUGGUUUUAACAUUUACUGGAACCGAUAAUGAUCGGGACAUAUGCUGCUUAACUUCAAUUUUCUGAAACAAUUUUAUUCGAAAUUUGAUAUUAAGCUAUUCAAUCUGAGAAUUUCGAAACUCGAACUGGUAUAUGGAAAAGAUAAAAUAGAAUCACUUACAGAGAAAUCAGAAUGACUCUCCAGAUGUCUGCCCUGCACAGUCUCAGAACCCACAUUUGCACUUGGUGUAACUGGUAAAGAAUGUGUUGCUUUCAUUGAUGGAGAGAAGAAAACCUUAUUAAGCGAGAAAGACCUUGAAGUAGAAGGCUUUGCCAAAUGACCAUCUGAUGAAGGUGUAUCUGGUAUAAUGAGAAUGGUCGUCUCACCAUCCAGGGGCAAAUUUUUCGCCCUAAAGCUUUUUUGAGGAAACAAAUUUUUCAUGGAUGAUUUGAUCUUAGCUGAAUUUGGUCUAGGGGGCAGUCCAGCUCUAGUAGAACUAGGACUUGGUACGGAAGGAAUAUCAAUCCUCGUAAAAGCAGACAGACUACUUUCCAGUGUCCUUGCUGGUAUUUGCAAUGAGGAGAGGUUUGGCCGUCUUGACUGUUGAACCAAGGAAGUUUCUUCAUUUUUUCCCUGUUGAUCAUGAACCUGCAAAACCAUCAAAUGCAUUCAUUGAUACUGAAUUCAGAAAAAGAGACCCAACAAGCUAUAGAGUCCAAGCACUUCAGCACAAGUAAAUACAUGGGCAACAAAGAAAAACAUAAACUUCGUAUCAAAAUGUGAGCUUUUAACAUGAACCAUCUAAAAAGUUUUCCUUUUCCAAUUCAGAUCAACAAGACAACAGCAAUAUAACUACAGGUUGUUGGCAACCCAGAAAAUGUAAGAAAUGAAGAGAAAAAUCAAAUCUUUACUAGUCAAAUUACUAAACUCUGGGACCUGAACAUUGCAUAAAAUCACCUGGGGCUGAUCAGAGGCAUCCGACGUGGAUUCCUCUCCAUGUUGAAGCUCAGAAGCUGAACUCUCCAUCAUAACCCAGAAAAAAAGUAGCAAAAUUGCACCCAGAAAAACCCUAAAUUUGUAGAAUGAGUGAGGUCCUCCGAAAGUCUGUUUUGAGCUGACACUCGCAGAAUUGAGUAUAAAUUGAAAAACACACAACCCAGUAACAGUUGCAAUGAUGGAUACAACAAAGGGUGGUCGGACAUGAAUCUUAUAUUAAAUCAAGUUUUGUUCUUUUUGGAAUUAAAAUUUUAAAUUAUUUUUGUUUAUAUAAUCACCCGCCAAGCCAACUUGAUUUGUGUGCUUGUGGAUUCUCUUUUUCGCCUUUUUCCUCCCUUUCCUUCUUCUUCACUUUACUUCAUUUAUUUAAUCAACCUAAUUAGCUGCUUUAAUUAAUUAAUUAAUUAAAAGCAAAAUUGCAAAGGUAUUGAUAGUUUGGUGGUUAGAUUACCACUAAACUUCAUGUAGUUCCAAUUUUUUCUCAUGUAGUUCUCUGACGUUUGCAAUCCAAGGAUGAAUUCUUAUUUUCCUCAAUUGUGUGAAGUUGACACCACGUGUCAUGCACAUGUAAUAACAUUUGACGUUGUUCUACAAGCACCUAUGGUAGAGUCAUUUCUUAUCAACCAUGACCUAACCUCCCCACUCGGAGGUGUCAUCUAAGCAGGGAUUUGUUCUUAUGAUUUUUUUAUCUAAUAGUAAAUAAUUAGUAUUAAAUAUUUGAAUUAACUAGUUUAGAGUAUUAUCCAUUACGUUUAGGUCAUUAUCAAUGUAUAGCUAUUGUCUUCUCAUUUACGUGUUAUUCUAAUUUCUUAUUUUCUGAUGUAAAUUAUUCUAAUUCCUUAUUUUUCUUUUAUUUACUAACACACAAAUGAAGAAAUUAUAUUCUAAAAACCAUAAUUCAAUAUAUGAAACACUAUGAAUUAGAUUAAUUUUAUGCUAUAUUCAUUAAUAACUUUUCUGAUUUAUGAUUUCCUUUCCUCUAUUCCAUAUAAGUAAACACUAGUCUCUCCGCACGCGCUUCCGCGCUUGCGAGAGGCUUUUUUUUAAAAAAAUUUAAAUUUAUUUUAGAAUUAAAAAAGAUAAUAGGUAGUUGUGUUCCCUAAAAAUAGGAUCCAUUAUCUGCUUUUUCUUUUUCUUUUUCUUUUUCUUUUUUAAAAUAUGAAAAAGUAUGAAUUUACCGUAUUAUCCUCAUUUAAUUAAUAAUUUGAAUUCUUAAUGUUUGCAUUAAUCAAGGGCAUUUUCUGGUAUUUAGAAUGUUUCACCAUUCUCUGCCUUUUGCUUUAUAUAUAUAGAUGCACACAACCUAUAAACAUCACUUAAAAUUACUUCAAUGCCCCUACAUGUGCAAAAAUAAAUGGCUACGUCGGUUGGUGGAGGAAAACUUCCUUACCAAUCAACUAUCAAAAACUUUCUUAUCAAUCAACGGACGAAAAACUUCUCUAUCACUACCGAUUGUAUAUAAUCAUAUGUCUAUUUUUCUCAUCAUUUCUAUAAUUUGGUCUUGACAUAAUUAUUUUGGCCCAUAGAGAGGCCCAGCCCAUAAGUUAGAUGCAAACCCGCGCAUUUUGGCCCGCUCCAAAACAUCGGGUCAGAGUGGUUGAUCCUGAAACCCGGUUCACAUAAUCUCAGACGAUCUGAGAUCGACCCAUUUCCAGCGCCAUUGUUGAAUCGAAAGGAGAGCUCAAACUGGGAGAGCAUCCGAACUAUCCAAAUUCUCAGAUCUCUCUCUUUGAACUGUUUCUCUGAUCGACAACUCAAACGCAACGAGCUGGAGCUUAAUUGCAAGCCAUGGACAAGUCAAGCGCUUUGGAAUACAUCAAUCAAAUGUUCCCUACAGGUCUCUCUGUCUCUCUGUGUGUCUCUGUUUGUGUGUUUAGGGUUUGUAUAAGUAGAAUGUGUAGGUUUUGUGCUUCUUACUCUUUGGAAUGCUUGAAUUGCACGAACAGAGGCGUCUCUAUCUGGUGUGGAGCCGCUUAUGCAAAAGAUACACAGUGAGAUUCGGCGUGUGGAUGCUGGAAUUUUAGCGGCGGUUCGCCAACAGGUCGUCAUUUUUGCCAUUUUUUCCUGUUGAGCUGAGCUCACAACUGCAAUUUCACGUUUUCUAGUUUUUGAUUGAUUGGUUGGUGUGGUUUUUCAGAGCAAUUCGGGGACCAAAGCCAAAGAAGAUCUCGCUGCUGCUACGCGUGCUGUGGAGGUCGGUUCAUAAAUUAUGUCCAUAGGCAUUGUUGUUAAUUUGCAUAAUCAAGGCUUGCUAUUGCUGUAUAUGGCUUGCAUUAGCUUUAGUUUUAGAAUUUUUGGUUUGGUUUUAUUUUAUUUAUUUAUUUUGUAAUCCUCUAAGGCAGGAACUCAUGUAUAAGAUCCGAGAAAUUAAAACGAAAGCUGAGCAGAGCGAGACAAUGGUUCAAGAAAUAUGUCGGGACAUUAAGAAGUUAGACUUUGCAAAGAAGCAUAUAACAACUACGAUUACUGCUCUUCAUCGUCUGACCAUGCUCGGUUAGUUCUUGCUUCCUUUUCGACAGUGAUGAUUGAUCAAAAUUACUAGUUUAAUUGUUUUACCCUGAUUUAGAAGCUAGUGAUGCUUGCCUUUAUAUUACAUCUCAUGGUAGUACCUAUUUUUGUGACAUGGCAGUCUCUGCUGUUGAGCAGCUUCAAGUAAUGGCUUCAAAACGACAAUAUAAAGAGGCUUCUGCACAGUUGGAGGUAACCUAUCUUCUAGUAUACAGUGUCAUUUUAUUCUAGGUUGAAGAGGUGCUUACUAUAUGGCUCCAUUUAUUUUAACCAUGCUUCAGGUUAUAUGUAGCUCAAUUAUGCCCUCUCCUUUGCAGCAUAUGAUUAUUGUUACACUCUCUUUAGCAUAUGAUCACUGUUCCACUCUCUUUAAACAAUUGGAAGAUCCUUGUAAAGAAAUUAUAUGCAUUGUUUUCAUGCACACUGUUGUUAUUUUGCUUUUGUUAUAUUUUUGUAAAACAAUCCUUUUCUUCCUCGUACAAAGUUUUGCGUUAUAUACAGAUGAUUGAAAAUAUUUAGCAGUUUUAGAAGAUUAAUUUUAUAUAAUUAUUGAGAAAGUGCUUCAUGUUAAUUCUGGGUUAUGAUGCAUGUCAGGCCGUGAACCAGUUAUGUAGCCAUUUUGAAGCUUAUAGGGAUAUUCCGAAAAUCACGGAGCUGAGGGAGAAAUUUAAGAAUAUCAAACAAAUACUAAAGUCACACGUGUUUUCCGAUUUCUCGAGGUAAGUUGUUAUAAUAUUAUGCAGAUACACAUUGGGUGGAUUCUUUAUUUUUUCCUUUUCUUGUUUUUUGUUUCUUAAUGACAGUCUUCCUUCUUAUUGAUGGACGAGAAGUCCAUCUUCUAUUUGCUUUUAUCCACUUUGAACUUAUUACUUGAAAUUUGAUUUUCCUCUGCACCUGGUUCAUUUACUGGAUAUUUUCCCUGUUGCAACUGAAAUGUUUUUGCUGUCUUUCACUCCUAAGUUUCUUCUCUUUUGCGGUUUAUUCUCAGCUUAGGAACUGGAAAAGAGUCAGAGGAAACUAAUUUACUCCAGCAACUAUCUGAUGCUUGCUUGGUUGUUGAUGCUUUAGAGCCGUCUGUGAGGGAAGAAUUAGUAAAUAACUUUUGCAGCAGGGAGCUUACUUCUUAUGAGCAGAUCUUUGAAGGAGCUGGUGUGUCUUCAUGUUAGAUCUUAUUCUUAGUGGAGAUGCUUUCUGUAUGAAGACUUCACUUUAAUUGCCCUUGAUUUUGAAUUUCCUCUUGUUUUCUAUACUACUAGAACUAGCUAAAUUGGAUAAAACUGAACGAAGAUAUGCAUGGAUCAAGCGUCGUAUGAGAACAAAUGAAGAAAUCUGGAAAAUCUUUCCUACUCCAUGGCAUGUUCCUUAUCGGCUCUGUAUUCAGUUCUGUAAAAAAACAAGGUAUAAUCUACUUGUCUUCCACAUUAAAUUAUGUUCACACCUUCAAUUCUCUGUGUUAGAGGCCAGGAGUUUCUUACAUUUUUCUUGCAUAAAAUGUAAAGAUCAAAUUCUUAAAAUACAGAAAAAAAAAAAAAAAAAAAAUUGGAAACUGACUGUUCUUAUUGACAUCUUCUACAAUAUUCAUGGUUUCAACAUAGUAGUCCAAGAAAAGACCUGAUAAUUGUAGCAUUUUGUGUACUGGUGCUAACACGUGUACGUAAGCAGAAAGGGUAGGCGAGUUAUGCCAUCACACAUAGUGGAUAAAAUACAUGUUUCCUGACCUUCCAUUUUCCCAUUUACUUUUGGAGUUUUUAGUUUCCUUAUUGUUUUCGAGUCAGAGGGAGAAGAAAAAUGUUGGAAGUAAGAUUCCAUAAAAGACGCACACGUAUGAGGUUGAUUAUUUUAUUAUUAUUUUUUCCAUUUAUUUGACCCUCUGGAAUUGUGGGUUUUAGUUCAUAUCUGAUUUCACCAGGAAAAGUUCAAAGAAACUUAAAACUGUGUUGUAUUGUACUUUCUUUCAGGAAGCAGCUAGAAGAUAUACAUAAUAAUCAGAAAGAAAAGCCUGAUGUUGGGACAUUAUUGUUGGUAAUCCAUAUUUCUAAUUUAUUUUGUUGCAUUGCUUUUACAUGUAGUUGAAGAGUGAAAUUUGGUGCGUCUUUGUAUUGUCUUCAGAUUAGUUUGAUUGGACAAUUUCUUGUCUAUUGUUGUAGAAGCUCUGCACAAACAACAUAAGUUCAGAUAAACCCAUUUUCAACCUUUCUGAGGCAUUUGAAUUUAAUAUCAUUACGUCAUCGAGUCUUCUUGCAAUAUUUUAAUCUACUUCCUUUUUGGCUUUGCUAUAAGUGCAACCAUCUCCCUCUUGUUGCGUGUGAUUUUCCUGUAUAAAUUUCAACUCUAUUGUCCAUAUGAUGUGAUAUCAUUUGUUUGUUUUACGUCCUGAGAUUAACUGGAAAUGGGUCAUUAAACAAGUGAGAAACCCUUUGAUGGAAACCAUGGGAAAGACAUUGAACCAAUCAGUGGUGUGCAAAAGCUUAGAUUAGUUUCUUCCUUAAUAAUAUUAAGUACAUCUGUUGAGACCUUUGAACAACUCGUAAGUGAUGUAAUGCAAUGUAUUAUGGGUCAUAUAAUGCUUUCCUCCUUGAGAUCUUCCAGUUUCUAUUCUGUAUGGGUGCUCUGUUUAAGGAUUAAUUAAGUUUAUGAAAGGAAAAAAAAAAAAAAAAAAAGAGAAAGAAAGAGCAAACUGAACCAAACUCAAUUAUGGUUGUGGAGGGAAUUGUUUCUGCAAGUUUUAUGUGAUCUGCCUAAUUGGACUUAAUAUGGGAAGUUAUAGUCAUUAAGGAUUUCCUCAUCUUUGACCAAAGAAAGGAUUUCCUUACCUCAAGUGGCACCUCUAUGUUACGUUUCUUGUAAGCGAUUGGUUGUGAUAAAUAUAACACCAAAAUUUUCAUUAUGGUUGAUAUUCUAUAUCCAUUCUCCUGGCCUUGGCCACUUUCUCACUUCUUGGUGUUAUUAAUGCUUUGAUUGUUGUCUAUAGGCACUACAACGAACUCUUGAAUUUGAGGAUGAAUUGGCAGAGAAAUUUGGUGGUGGUACUCGAGGCAGGGAGAUUGGAAAUGAGAUUGAAGAAAUUGGCAGAGGGGAAAACACUAGUCAAAGUGCUUCAGAUAUUAGAAAGAAGUAUGAAAAAAAGCUUGGUGCACAUCAGGAGAGCACAGAGGUAUGCAUGCUACAUAUUACUUAAAAUGGUUGCAAUUUUUGCGCUGUGAAGAUUCUUAUACCAUCAAGUUACUAAGGUCCUAAUUUUCGUUUGCCAGGAAAAGGAUAAAGAUUUAUCAGUGCCUGGAGCUGGGGUAAAAAAAUUUCUUCUACCUAUAUUCUUUCAUAAUAAGUAACCCCAUACUAUUCAAUUCUGUAGUUUUCCUAUCCUAAGUCUAACUUCUAACAGAUAGAGAAUUCGUUGUACUGUUUAAUUUGGCAGUUCAACUUCCGUGGAAUCAUUUCAUCUUGCUUUGAGCCUCACUUGAAUGUAUACACAGAACUAGAAGAGAAAACACUAAUGGAGAAUUUGGAGAAACUUGUUCAGGUAGAAUAGGUCUAUUACUUCUUAUUACAUAUGUUCAAUAGUAUGCUUGUGCUUUUUUUCUUUCUUUCUUUUUUUUGAAUGAGGGUUUCCUUAUCUUCUUUCCAAUAGGAAGAAACAUGGGAUAUUGAGGAGGGAAGUCAGAAUAAUGUUUUAUCAAGUAGCAUGCAGGUAAGCAUUUAGAUACUCAUUGUUUUCUGUCUCUCCAGAAAUUCUAGAAUGCACACUUUAAUGAUGUUCAAUAGCAUUGACUCGGUUGCCCUUUUUGGUCUUUCAGUUGUUUCUCAUAAUCAAGAGGAGCUUAAAGCGAUGCAGCGCUUUAACAAAGAACCAGACAUUAUUUAAUUUAUUCAAGGUGCAUUCUUAAAAUUCAUUCUUUUAGAUCCCAAUUUGGUGACCACAUACAGAACACGUAUGAUGCUGCAACUGAAAAAUCUCAGUACCACUGCUUGACAAGGUUUAAAGAUAUUGCUUUGUAAUUAUAAUACCUGUUGAUGAGAUGGAAUGAGAAAAAUCUUUGUUUUUUCAAUAGUCAUAUGAAUAAUAACCCCCUUCAAAUAUUAUGAGAAAAAUGCAUGUUUCUUCCUUGUGUGGAUGAGAUAGCUAUGUCCAGCCUCAUGGUCAUACCAUUUGAGACCUAUUUGUUUUACUGACCCUUCAAAUAGUAGAAGAAAAAUGCAUGUUUUUUCCUUGUGGCUGUCGUGGAUGAGACAGUUAUGUCUAGUCUCAUGGUCAUACCAUUUGAGACCUGUUUGCUUGACUGACCUUGGACUUUUGACGUGACUAAGUACAGUAACAGUAAGAUUAUAUCUUUGUUUAACCAGAAUAUGAUAUAUGCCUCUUUCCAAGUUUAGGUGUUUCAAAGGAUACUCAAAGCAUAUGCUACAAAGCUUUUUGCAAGACUACCUAAAGGUGGUACAGGAAUUGUUGCAGCAGCAACUGGUAUGGAUGGACAGAUAAAGGUAUCAAGGGACCAAUUCUAACUAUCAGGAUUAUUUCAAAAAAUUCUUGUUUUUCUGAACAGAUCUCUUUUUUUUAAUGCAAUUUAGCAGACAUCUGACAGAGAUGAAAGGGUGAUUUGUUAUAUUGUCAACUCAGCAGAAUACUGCCAUCAGACGGUAAGCAGUUCUUCUGGAGACAUGGAACUUCUCUGUGAUAUUGAGUGUUAACUUGAUUCACAUGCGCAUGUGAAGCUAUCAUGCCUGGUCUCAACUUACUGCAAAUACUGUUCUGAUUGGAACUUCUGGAUAACAAGGACUAGAUUUUUCCGUUUGUAUGAUGUGUUUCCUUAUUUUUUGCAUUAAAGAAGUAAAAGCUAACAAAGGCACAGGCUGAGGAUUUACAUUAUAUAGUCUAUAAUUAUAAGGUGUCUGAGACACAUACCAUCAUAAGAACAUAAGUGAAAAAUGAUUGCACUUGCUUAUUGUAUGCAUCACCUGACUGCAUUCAUAUGUUGCCAUAAUGUGUUAUGUGGACCUUUCCCUGUUAGCCUGAUCAGCCUAUUCUUUAAACAUUAGGUGUUGUAAAUUUUGUCAGUAUUUUGUUUGGUUUUUAGUUCUCUAUCCGAGUUUGUUGGCAUGGCUGUCUUCUUUCUGAAACUAUUUAGAGGUGUCAUUAUUUUAGGAUUAGUAGUAGCAUUGAAUCCAGUGUUCACAUGAUAUGCAUAAACAAUUAUAGUACAAGAAUGAAUGCUAUUCUACAUUCUUGGUAAUUUGUGUUUAAUUCUUGGCAGUCUGGUGAACUGGCUGAAAGUGUAUCCAAGAUAAUUGACACUCAGUUUGCAGAUGGGGUGGAUAUGUCAGAAGUGCAGGUAUGGGAUAUUUUAUAAAAAGAUCACCUAUGGCAUAUCUAUUUCUGUUCAUUUUCUAUAAGAGUAUUGCAAUUGUGCAGGAUGAAUUUUCAGCAGUUAUAACAAAAGCAUUGGUAACCCUGGUGCAUGGCCUGGAAACUAAGUUUGAUGCUGAAAUGGCUGCAAUGACACGAGUUCCAUGGGGUACACUUGAAAGCGUUGGUGACCAAUCAGAGUAAGCUAGCAUUAAUCUAAAAUUUUGAUCCUUCACAUUAAAGUUUUAUACAUUCUCUACAAGUGACCACAUCCACCUUUUUGCAGGUAUGUUAAUGGCAUUAAUAUGAUCCUUGCUAGUAGUAUUCCUAUACUUGGAAGCCUUCUUUCACCGAUUUACUUCCAAUUUUUCUUGGACAAGGUAUUACAAGGGACUGACGUGUAUUGGAGAAUCUCUCUUUUGGAGUUGUAAUUUAGCUCUGUAUUCUGAUUUCUUAACUUCAUCUCUGCAGCUUGCAUCAUCGCUUGGUCCACGUUUCUAUGCUAACAUUUUCAAAUGCAAGCAAAUAUCAGAAACUGGAGCUCAACAAGUAAGGACUGUAUUCCUUAAAGUUUUCUUUGUUUCCAUUCAAACCUAAUUUUGUUUUUAUCAAGAAACGAAAACAAGUAUAUAUAGUGUUUGUCUUUAAGGGACGCACAGUUUACACCUUGAGGCUUCUCAAAUGUUAUUGUGGGAUAUAUACCAAGGAUUUCCCUUGAAUAUUGAAUUCUAAUUAGUUUAAAUUUUACCUCAUGGUAGAAGUCAAUCAGUCAGACUUUCACCUUGAAAUUUUUUUCUUAGUUCAGGUUAUCUUUCUUAUGCAAUUAUCAAGUGUAUUUCUUGCAUCUCUGAGCAUUUUUCUAGUUUAUAUCAGAAGUAAUUUUUGUGAUUGGUUCAUGUGAUGCUCUUAUUGCAGAUGUUAUUGGAUACUCAAGCUGUAAAGACAAUUCUUUUAGAGAUACCAUCCCUUGGUCACCAGGUCAGUGCAGUGUUGAUAUAUGAUUACUCAUCGUAAUUGAUUAGUUAUUGUUCAUGGUACACAAAUCAAACCUGUUAACCAGAUCAGUAUAAUUCUUCAAACAGACUUCACGUGCUGCUAGCUAUUCGAAAUUUGUAAGCCGUGAGAUGAGCAAAGCUGAAGCACUUCUGAAGGUAGAUGAUCUGUCUGUUGGUACUCUUUCUGACAGCUUUUGGUUUUCUUUUCUGAAGCAGGCUUAUGUUAUCUUUGUAUACAGGUCAUACUGUCCCCAAUUGAUUCUGUUGCGGAUACUUAUCGGGCAUUGCUACCAGAGGGAACGCCCAUGGAGUUUCAGCGAAUUCUGGAGCUCAAGGUCAUGAUCAACUCCUCCUUGCCUCUUUGCAUUCAUUUGUUUUUCACAUGAGACAUUCUUGCUCCUUCCAUGAAUCAAACUGAAGUCAAAACCUUAAGAAACUCUAGGAGACUGACUUUCAAGACUAAUUGGUGACCCGACCUGAGCAGACAUUGCAUUAGAGCAGUGCAGUUUCUGUUCUGUGCAUAGUGUAUGUUUACUAAGCCCCUCCAUAGAACGGGUGCUUUGUACUCUAUACAAGUGCUGUUCACACCAUUUAGCGCAAAUUUUGUCUUCUGCAACAGAAUUACGAGUUGGAUUAUCAGGCUUAAUUCAAUGUCUUUAACUGAACUAAUUUGAGCAUGGGUUUUGCAGGGCCUUAAAAAGGCAGAUCAGCAAAGCAUACUAGAGGACUUCAACAAGCAUGGGCCUGGAAUUACACAACCUUCUAUCCCACCACCGGCUGCCCCACCCAUCCCUCUCCCAACUGCCCCUACAGUUGCUCUAAUAUCAAAUCCUGCUUCAGCCGGACUUAUUGCUUCUAGAGAUGACGUGCUAACCAGAGCAGCUGCACUCGGGCGAGGUGCAGCCACAACAGGGUUCAAGAGGUUCCUAGCGUUAACCGAAGCUGCAAAAGAUCGGAAAGACGGGCCUUUCAGGAAGCUCUUCAACGCCUGACAGCAUUGAAGUCCUUGGGAUUUGUAAAUCAUGUACUGGUUCUUACUUUUUUUCCUUUUUUCUUUUUUGUUUUGCCAAUCUCAUGCUGUUGUUUGUCUCUUGCUUUUCUGACGGGUUUUCAUAGGAUGAAACAUUGUAUUAAUCUCCUAAUAGUUCAAUUAAAUAUUCCUAUUAUUUUUUGCUCUUUUGGGCGUAUAGUAUGUAUUGUUCCUAAAGCCCAAUACCAAAUCUCAAUUGAUUUGAGAAAGCGAGUUCGAACUAACGCUGAAAAACUCCGAUUUAACUAUAUUCUCAAUAUAAAGUAUAACGGAAAUCUUUAAGAAUUGUAUUUCCCAGAGAAACCUGAACCAUGAGAGAGCCAUUUCAACCAAGGUCUCCUUUCCCCUUUCCCCUUCUAUGAGGAAUGGGGAAUCACCAGUGAGGGGUGGCUGUGGCGGGUUCCGUCAACAGGACAGGAUAGGGGCUGCUGCUUCGGUUCAGAAUUUGGAAUUUUUUUUUUAAACCUUCGAGGGCAAUUAUUGAAAAUAAACAUGGGAAAAAAAGAAGUAAUAUUGCAAGUCUGAAUAGAAUUCCCAUUUAGUAUUAUGUAAAUGAUUAGGAGUGAAUCCAAAUCGGCCAUAGGUUGUGUCAAUUAUAGUAGAAGCUGAGGGGCUUAGAAAGAGGAAAGAACAAAGCGAAGACUUGGUGCUCAUAGUCAUUCCACAGUAGUGGGAACAUGUUUUCUAUUAUAGAGACAAUCCUUGGGGUGUUUUAUGGGACCUGAUCAUAAAACAAUGUCGAGUUUUUAGCACUACACUACACUCAAGGAUUAAGAAGACCUCAAACAAAGGACAAAAAUAGUAACAUAACACAAUACUAAAAGAUAAAUUACAUGUGAGAGCCCUCUUCUUCAUAUCUUAAUUAUGAUAAAUUUCACUUCAUACUCUAAUUUAGAAACUUAAUAUGAACAGAAAAACAUCUAAAGACUUAAAUUUUGGAAUAAUUAGAAGCACAGGCACUUUCUCACAGGUGCUGAAGCCCGUGCACCACUAAGCAGCAACGCCCCCUUUAAUUGACUUCGAUCCAUGAAAAUAAACAAUUGUUUUUGGUAAUCCUUUCCUACCCGUCGUAUCUUCUUAACUGCCAUUGCAAGACACUAGUGUGAGGAAUUGUCAACAUUGUCGAGCCAGUAGCACAAGGGAAUGUGUCAAUUAAAAGAAACCCAAUUGAGCCAGCAAAUUAUAUGGGAAACAAAGAAAAAGGAUACACGAAUAAAAAAGACUUACCGUUCAAUAAAAUCAGAAGUGUCUUCUCCCUGCAUUUUGAUCAUCAGCACCAAAGGUGCCAAAACGGCUAGAAUUCUCAUCAGCAAAUCCACUCUGGCGAUCCAAACUAAAGUUCCUAGAACCGCCAGAACGAUCAGAACCACCAAACCCUCCGAAACCACUUGAACGAUCAGAACUACCAAACCCUCCGAAACCACUUGAACGAUCAGAACUACCAAACCCUCCGGAACCGCUUGAACGACCAAAACCUGAACCACCGAAGUUUCCUCCUCGAUUUGAGCCAGAUCCAGAAAACCCACCUCCAGAUUGAGCGGAAUCACCAAAGGAACCAAAACGACCAGGACGGGAUCCACUAGAUCUACCCAUCUGACCAGAAGAAUCACCAUAGCCACUGGAACGACCAAAUCCAGGACGGCUAAAUCCUGGUCCUGCUUGACCAAAUCGACUACUUUUUGUGUUAAACCUACCCAUGUCGGGCAUCAUGUCUAUGCUUUUGCCGUCAACAGCAAUCCGAGGGAGCUGAUGAGCACAUAGCAAUCAGAUAAUCAGUUUAGCAUGCUACGUACAUAAACACAGACAUAUUCUGCUAAGAAAUAAAUUCCAAUUUAUAGGUUAUGUAAGCAUGCGAAGUGUUGGGAAGCUCCCACACAAUACUGGAGAGGACUAUGUCAGACUUGUGGUAGGCUUUGACUCAAAACGAAGAAAAUCACAUAAGCAGAAUGCAUGUAAGUGCACAUAAACAUUUUAGCAGAAACACAACUCUUUAAUGGGAAUGUCUAUUUGUUUUUGUCAGUUGGUAAUUACUGAUUUCGACUUUAACAAGAAAAUGCAAGCCAUCCUGAGCAUAUAACUGUCAAGCCACUUUCGGCAUUUAACCUAUUAAUUAAUUUACCCACAAACACUUAAUAACCCAAGUCAUGUGUACUCUCAAUCUCAAAAGGCCUUAAAACUGUGAGCAGCUGCCACCAAAAAGAGAAACACCAAAAAAGAAAGAUACAAAUAAAAAAGAAAGAUACAAAUAAAAAAGAAAUUGAUCUUUACCUCUGUGAAUUUGCAUCCUACAUCUUGUUCAAUAGUCCUGACAGCCCUGGAUUGAUCCUGUGUGUAAACAAGAAUAGCACUUCCUUUCUUCCCAGCACGACCUGUUCGGCCUGACCGAUGAACAAAUAUUUCUGAAUUGUUUGGAAGCUCAUAAUGUAUCACCUAACGUCGAAAACGAGAAGAAAGAAUUUAUGUCAGUAGAAUUCCUCGUCAUUAAUUUGACUCCAUAAUAUUAUCACUUUCAAAUGCAUCCAAAACCAUAUAUGGGCCUAACCUAAGUAGAGCAUUUAAAAGCUUUAACCAACUCAUGAAAAACUAAAAUGAAAGGGAAGGACAGACGUUAAUAAAAAUAACUAGAUUAGUGAAGAAUGUAUGCAAGGUCUAGUAAUUAACAACCCGGGGACAGCCACAAAGAUAAAUUAACAUAAAACUACAGAAAAUGAGAGGAUAAAUAAAUCUCACCAGAUCAACAUUGGGCACAUCAAGCCCACGAGCCGCGACAUCAGUGGCAACUAAAAUAUUGAAAUUCCCAUCUCGAAAACCUGCAAGGGUCCUUUCCCUCUGGGUUUGAUUAAUAUCCCCAUGCAAAGCUUCACAUUUAUAGCUUCUUGACAUGGCAUAUGCCAAUCGAUCAGCAUCACGUUUUGUCUGCGUAAAAACAAUACACUUUCCUCCUUUUGCGUGUGCCUAACAAGCACAUAUCUGGUGGUGAGAAAGGACCAGAUGUUGGAAAGGGUAAGACCAAGGAUUGAAAAGGUUGCAAUUACUUACUGUUAUAAGUGGUCCAAUAAUUGAUGCUUUUCCAUAUGAAUCCGAUGAAAUCGAGAAUAGAGAAAUUCCAUCGGCCAAUUUCUGGUCAGACUCCCCAACCUACAGCACAUGCCAGUUUUUGUUAGUUUGCAACCAUGAUCAGAUGAAUAUGUGUAAAACCUUUAUACUCACUCAAAACUAUACACCAGUAGUUUUCAUGUCACCAAACAAAAAUGCACAAAAAGAAACCUUUCUUGCCUCCACUUUAGCUUCAAAACCUUUUUAGAAAAAAAUUUAAAUUAAAUCUUCCAUUUCUGCCAACUUUCACUCGAUAUCUAGGCACAAAUUAAGAAGACAAGUUGCAAAUUCGAUUUUUAUUAAUACAGUUAACCAAAACUAUCCUUGUCAGUCAUAUACACCAUCAGGUCACACCAUUAAGCACUAAAACCAUUAUGGAACGGAGAAAGUAAUGUUUUACGCUUCUGGUCCUCAGUCUGGCAAUGUCAUUGCCUAUGCUCUGGUCCUAGUAUUCAGUAGGCAAGGACAUACAAAAAAAAAAUUGCAUACUUACAAGAUCAAUCACUUCUGGAUUUUUCAGGUAAUUUUGAGUAAGCUUUUUAAUCCAACCCGGCAUUGUUGCAGAAAACAUCAAGGUCUGACGUUUCUUCGGUAACUUCUCUAAGAUAAUCUCAACGGCCUCUUGAAAUCCCACUUGGAGCAUCUGAUCAGCUUCAUCAAGGACAACAAACUGAACUUCCGAUAAAUUCAAAGCACCCCUAUUAAUAAGAUCAAUUACACGACCAGGUGUGCCAACAGCCACAUCAACCCCGUAAUCAAGCUGCCUCAUUUGACUUGAAAUGGGUGUACCACCAUAAACACAAAUUGUAUCCAAGCCAGGUGCCGACUCAUGGAAUUCCUUCUCAACUUGCUUUGCAAGUUCCCUUGUUGGAGCCAAAACCAAAGCCAAAGGGUUCCUCCCACGCCUGCAUAACCAAACAUAAAUCAUAAUCCAUAAUGGAAAACCCCAUAAAUCAAAAAGAAAAUGUAGAAAAGGCGAAAUUAUAAAGUAUUUACUGAGAACCCCUACUGGAGCACACUAUUAAUCUAACUAAUGAGUAUGAUUGCAGAAACAAACCCAUGUUUGGCAUUGUAUUUAAGGAUUUUAUCCAAGAUGGGUAUCCCAAACGCAAGAGUUUUCCCUGUUCCUGUUCGAGCACGACCAAUCAUAUCACGCCCUUGCAUCGCGGGUUCCAACACAGCCCUCUGUACACAAAAUCUCCAAACAAAUAAUUAAUACACACAGAAAACAAAUCAAUUCAAAAGAUUUCUUCUUUUCCAAUCAUUUUCUCAUCAAACAAACAGAACACACAAGCGGGAAAUGAUAAAUCACCUGUAUGGGGAACAGCUUAGUGAUACCCUUCUUGGCCAAAGCCGAUACAAUGUCCUGAGAAAUCCCUAGCUUCGCGAUCUCGAGUCCAUCAUCUUGGCCGCUCUUUUUAGACGACUCGUCGUACGAGUAAUCAACAGCAAACUCGGCGCUCAGCGCCGUCGACGCCCGGUAAUUCAACGGCCCAGAUUUCGCGUGCAAGUCCCUCACUUGAAACCCGUAGGAAGGACCCAGCUUCGGCUUUGGCGCUGAGACUGUGUAGGAUCUAGCCUCACCACAGAGAGCACCAUUUGCGGGGAGUACGAGGUCGGGCGUCGACGCGGCGAGAAAUGAAUGGUGGUUGAACAGGAGUGUUUCGAUGGCGGCGAAGGACCGUACCGUGGCUAUGGAAGGUGACCUUCGGAGGAUGGUGGUCAUCAUCUUUGGUGUAAUUAGGGGUUUAGGGUUUUCAGAAGAGAAAGAAACCCUAAGGUUGAUUUUGUGUAGGGUUUAAGAGAGGCGAGGAAGUGAGCCACAAAACCUCUGAGGUGAGGGGUUUAUGCUUUAUGGACGAAAAUGAAACAUAUUUUAAGGGUUUGGAUCCUCUGCGGUCGAGCUUUUAGGAUUCGGACCCACGUUACCUUUGUUUUUAGGUCAAGGGGCCCAUAGGACUCUUUCCUUUGAAUUUGUUUUCUUUUCUUUUUUCUGCAAUUGGGUCUUGAUUUUGCUCUGCCAUAUUCUUGUUGAGCCUCCUACAAUGUUGGUGCACAUUUUGGUUGAUGGUGGAGCUUCAUUUUACAAGCCCAUAUAACUUUGUUGCUAGUUGUUGUUUACGUUUUGGGCCUUUGGGCCUAUUAUGAACCCAAUAAGAAAUCAAUCUGUCACCAUUCCUCCUUUUAUUUUAUUUUAUGGAUAUAUGAGGUUCAGGCCUUGAGUACCAGUCUCAUUGUGGAUAAAAUGAUGAGUAUAGUCGGUUGUGUACAAUUAUGUGUCUAUUUAUUAUAUAAAAAAAAAAUAUAUAAAUAUGAUUAGAUAGAACCAGCAAUAGGGAAAUUAUUAUCGUUCUAUGGAUGUGAGGACAAGUAUUCUAUCACUAGAGUUGUAAGCCCCAACAUAGCUUUAGUACUCGUUUCGUCAACCCUUUUUUACCGAGGUUUGGAAACUUAACAAUCCUAACAAUUGUUGCAUGAUGUGAAAAAACUUGAUUAUCUGGAUCGAAUAAAUAAUUGAACAUAUUUAUUUAUUCUAAAAUAGUCGAAAAAGAGUCUUUAUAGGCAUUUAAAUUUGAGUGCUGCUAAACCUACCCUAAAAUUAACCAAGUACACCCUACUAUCAAACUACUUAUUGAAUUACUAAUUUACCAUAAUAUAAAAUGAACAAAAAGGAUAUAUUGAAUUGUGAAAUAAAUACAAAUUUAAUAAGUACACCAUACUAAUGACCAUAUUCAACCUUAAUCAAGGGAACGCUCAUCACUUUAACCCAAUGUAUAUACCCUCGCCACCGUUCUUAGAAAUUGACAUCCCUCUUCUCCUGGCCUUUUGGGUUCAUAUAUGGAUGGGCGUAAGAUAUAGGUGAUCACGAGGUUCCAUCUUCUGCCCCAGAAGUUUUGCAGAGAAGUGGAGAGGUAUACCUCAUUGAAAUGGGAUUUGAGAUCUAAACCCAAAUGGCUCCAAGUGAGGGUUGCUACAAUGAUUAGUUGGAUUUCUAUAUAUAUAUAUAUUAUAUAUAUAUAUAUAUAUAUAUAUAUAUAUAUACAAGCUAUGAAGGACUAAGACGAGCUUUGGGUGGAUGUGCUGACUAUAACUAAGGACACCAAUUACAAUGGCCAAAAGGAAGCCAUUAAUUACAUGAUCUAGGGGCAAAUUGUGUCCUUCGCCAUUUGUAUAGGGUUCUGGUGGAGAUGGGUUGGUUUCAAUUUCAGGAUUUUGAGAUUUUGGAGGUGGGUUUUUUCUAUUUAGAUGGGAUUUUGAGGAAGAUGGGUUGGUUUGGAGGGCAACAAGUUCAAUCCAAAAAAUAAGAAAUAAAUAAAGAAAAUUAUAAGGAUUUACAAGAAUCAAACUUCGAAUUGAAUGAGCUAACAAGUCUAUUCCCACAACAGCUUAGGAAUCAAAAUCUGAAUAGAGGGCACAGAUUCAUGUAAAAAGAGAAAUCUAGAUUGCUAUUAGGGUGUUGUGUGAUAGAAUGUAUUAGGGUGUACCGGGAGUAUUUUUGGUAGUCAAAUAGGGUGUGCUUAGUUAAUUUUACAUUUUAAUUUAAAUAUUAAAAUAUACUUAAAUCAUAGGAUAUACUCAGUUAAUUUUAGAGUUCAUUUAGCAACACUCUUAAAUUUUCAUCCGUAGCUGGAAGUGUUGAGCUUCUAGUUCUCUAAUCAAAAAAAGGUUGAGUACGUUGAAAACUUGUAGAGCUAAAACAUUCGACAACUCCAACAAAAUUAAAGAAAACAUGCUAAAUAAUCCAUGUUAUUAGAAAUGUCUUUCAUUCCAACUCAUGUAUACACAUGCGGGCACUACCAAAAUGUGUUUUAAAAAUCAAAGUUUCUAAGUGAGUGUAUCCGAUGAAAUUUUGCAAUAUCCCUUAUCCAGGUAAUGACGCCACGUGUACAAUCUUUGUUGGGCAGUCAGAUCCUAACCUAAUCUGAAACCUGGGACAGCUCCAAUAUCCACCAGGAGUUCAAUGCCACAGUGCCCACAAGUUUUGGUGGCCCCUGGCCCAUGUAUUUUGUCUUUGUAUAUUACUUGUGCUAGUUCAUAGCCUUUGAGACUGAGCAAAUAUUUGAUUUGUACAGGGGAGAGAGAGAGAGAGAGAGAGAGCAAGGGAGGAAAAGAAAAGAGAAAAAUGGCCACACAAGCUCUGGUAUCAUCUUCAUCCUUAACAGCCUCAAAGGAGGCUGCAAGGCAUUUACUAGGAGGAAAGGCAGUCCAAUCUCCAUUUGGGUCAAGAAAAUCUGCUUCCUUUGUAGUCAGGGCAGCCUCUACACCCCCUGUUAAGGUAUGUAAUAUUGUAGCAAAUUGAUGGUUGCUUGGUGAAACUCAAUCAAUCUUACAAGUCUUAACAUUCUUUGUUUAUACUUUGCAUUUUGAUUUCAGCAAGGAGCAGACAGACAAUUGUGGUUUGCAUCCAAGCAGAGCCUUACUUACUUGGAUGGCAGGUAAUACUUUGUGCAUGCCCUCUUAUAUAUAUAUUCUCAAUUAUAAAAUUAUUUUUGACCUUAACACUGUCACGCGAUAUUAGUGAUUCAUUUAUAUUAUUAAUAUAUAUCAUAAAAUGUGAAUUUUCGUGCAUUCAUAUUAUAACACGGGUAACAUAUAGUUUAGAUAGUAGCAACUGAACAAUCAAAUUGUUUUCGAAUCUUGGUACAUACAAUAUAAUUAUUGGGAAACUUUUCCUACAUAAUAUGUGUACUUAAAACGUUUGGGCGCAUCACUUAAAUGAAGUACUUUAAUUUGGAAAAUGGUUGAAUUUGUCUUUUUGCAGCCUUCCUGGUGACUUUGGAUUUGAUCCGUUGGGGCUGUCUGACCCGGAAGGCACAGGAGGGUUCAUUGAGCCGAGAUGGCUAGCGUAUGGAGAGGUCAUCAAUGGACGUUAUGCCAUGCUGGGUGCAGUUGGUGCCAUAGCACCAGAGAUUCUUGGAAAGCUUGGCCUAAUCCCACCAGAGACAGCCCUCCCCUGGUUCCAAACAGGGGUGAUCCCUCCAGCUGGAACCUACAACUACUGGGCUGACCCCUAUACACUCUUUGUCUUUGAGCUAGCCCUCAUGGGCUUUGCAGAGCACAGGAGGUUCCAGGACUGGUACAAUCCAGGGUCCAUGGGCAAGCAGUACUUUUUGGGCUUGGAGAAGUACUUGGGUGGCUCAGGGGACCCAGCUUACCCGGGUGGGCCCCUCUUCAACCCUCUGGGAUUUGGCAAAGAUGAGAAGUCUUUGAAGGACUUGAAGCUCAAGGAGGUGAAGAAUGGGAGGCUGGCUAUGUUGGCAAUUUUGGGUUACUUCAUACAAGGCCUUGUGACUGGUGUGGGGCCCUUCCAGAACCUUCUGGAUCAUUUGGCUGACCCUGUGAACAACAACGUCUUGACCAGCCUCAAGUUCCAUUGACAGAGAUUUGUACAAUAUAUCUUGGUUGCUUUGCUUGGAAUAUGAUGACCCUUUGGGUCUCUCUCUCCUCUUUCUCUUCUUCCUAUCUCAUUGUAAGAUUAUGUGAGAACAGUUUGUUGUUAUUAUCUGUCUGUG
rnacentral:lncRNA from 1 species